rnacentral:lncRNA from 1 species
CGCGAAGCCAAUUUCGCUUAUGAUGUGAUUGUCAAAUGUUGUAGGUCAAGAAUGAUGUGGAGGGUCGCGUCCGUCGGUGGCCGCUAAUCUGGCACGCGUCUGUGGCGUUCUUCCACUUGGCGCUCUUGGUGGGACUCAUCGGGCUCGUUCUUCAAAUCUGUGGCGGGUCUCAAGAGGUUUCUUACCUUCUCCGCAUUGCGGCUGUGCUGUGCAAGCUCCUACUCACCGUGCUCUUCUGCAUCCGUGCUGCUGUGGCGCUGUGGAGGAUGAAUCCUCAACAGCCGGCCGCAGUUGGUGCUGCGGUAGUGUGAUGAGUGUACGGAGUAGUAAUCUAAUCUAUCUAGUAACUACUUGUAGUAGGCUUGCUUCAAUGCUAGGCCGCCAAGAAGAAGUACCGGAUCUAUCUAUCUAACACAGCUCCAUUGUUUACCCCAGUGAUGAACAGCGUCCAUUCUAUGUAAUCAUGUACUCGUAGCCACAGUGAAUUCCAGUAUAUGUUAUCAGGUCCCUUAAUUCUCUGCCUAUAUGACUUGACGUACGCUCUGAUGAAGUGAUGAAGAACUUCCAUUCUAUGUAAUCAUUUUGCAUUUCACUCUACUUGUAUUAAGUUGCUAGAUUUGUUUUUGGCUGGGUUUUGGCGCAGAGGGACGGAUCGAGCAGCUAGGAGAAAGCAGCCGAGCUGCUGCUUGCUUCUUUCUGUUCCUGGUGGGAUUCUUUCUGGCCAAUUCCACCGCGUGACCCUACCCUGUCCGUCCCCGUCCGUUUGGGAUAAAAGGUACAAAAGAAACGGCCCAGCGCGCGGGCGCAAACGGACUUUGUGUCCGCUUUGUGUCCGUUUUCGACCCAUCCCCGGCCCAAACUUGCGCUGGUUUUGGGGUGAAACGGACAGCGCGCGGACGGGCGGGAUGUGCGCCCUUGUCCUCCCCUGGCCCGCCCNNNNNNNNNNNNNNNNNNNNNNNNNNNNNNNNNNNNNNNNNNNNNNNNNNNNNNNNNNNNNNNNNNNNNNNNNNNNNNNNNNNNNNNNNNNNNNNNNNNNNNNNNNNNNNNNNNNNNNNNNNNNNNNNNNNNNNNNNNNNNNNNNNNNNNNNNNNNNNNNNNNNNNNNNNNNNNNNNNNNNNNNNNNNNNNNNNNNNNNNNNNNNNNNNNNNNNNNNNNNNNNNNNNNNNNNNNNNNNNNNNNNNNNNNNNNNNNNNNNNNNNNNNNCCCAUUUGGCGCCAUUUGCCCCAAACCCUCCCGCCUCCCUCCCGCCGCCCUCUCUCUCCUCCGUCCAUGGCCGACGCCCCGCCGAGUACCGGCGGCCUGGCCGCCGUCCCGCCCGCAAAGGUGAAGAAGAAGGCUCGAAGGAAAGCGCGGUCGGAGUACACGCCGGAGGAGAUCGCCAAGUUGGACGCGGAAUCGGCGAAGAGGAGGGAACGGAGAGCGGUAGUCAAGCUCAAUGCCGCCGCGGCCAAGAGAGCUGCCAUGCGCGAGGAGCUGGAGGCCGCGCGGCACAAGGCCGCUGCCGACGAGAAGGAGGACAUCGUCGUCAGCAAAGCUCACGUCAUCCUCAUGCUUGGCAUGGGCCGUCCUGCCGGGUUCCCUGCAGCGGACGUCGCACCGGCGAGCACCAGCUCGUCGGUUGCGCAAUGACAAGCCAUUCACUCUUACGCAUUGUUGGACGCUCAUCAACAUGUGCCCUAAGUUCAAGGACCAAUACCGUGAACUACAAUGGAAAAGAGGACUGAAGACGGCCAAGUUCGCCAGAGGUGGAGAUGGCAAGGCGUUGAAGAGGCCGAGGGGCAAGACCAACUCCAAGGUGGACGGCAUACGUGACACCUCAUCCAUGGCCUUGCAUGAGACUUUGCAUGGCAUGAUAUCCCAAAAGGAUGUGAGGGACAAGAAGAAGCGGCAAAGCAAGGACGAGCAAAUGAAGCAAUACCUAGACCUUCAAAGACAGAAGCUUGAGAUGGAGGAGGCGGCCAAGAAGAGGAAGCUCGACAUGGAGGAGGCGGCCCGGCAAAGGUAGCUCGACAUGGAGGAGGCGGCCCGGCAAAGGCAGCUGGACAUCGAGGCCGACAACGUCAAGGCCAGGCAGAGGCAGCUCGACAUCGAGGCCACCAAUGCCGCCACCAAAGCGAAGGAGGUGGCCCUUGCGAUCAUGAGCGUGGACUUGUCGAAGAUGAGCGACAAGACGAGGGCCUGGUUCGAAGCCAGGCAGAAGGAGAUGCUCGACGCCGAAGGCCUGAACUAGGUCAUCCGAUCGGCGUGGCCGUUCUUUUUGAGGCUGACAUGGGUGCCGCCCGCCCGUCGGGGGCCGCUGGCAGUGCGCCGGCGAGAAAACAUUCAUUUUGGAGGUUGGCUGUGUUGCCGGCGAGAAAAACUAUUCAUUUUGGAGGCUGGCUGUGUUGCCGGCCGCUGGUUGAUGCCGGCGAUGGACGUGUAGGCCGGCGUGAACCGGGAACGCUAGCUGAAUUAGUUUUUUAUGGAUGCGGACAGGAUGGGGCAAAUGGAUGCGGCCUCGCGCUGCGCGCACGACCACCGCAUCCCAGGACACGCCCGGACACGGCCCCAAACCCCUACUCAAACGGACCGAAUCUGGACAAAACGGACGUCCGUUUGGGAUCGCGCGGUGGAGUUCCUCACGCUUCCGGAAAUGGGCGUGGAGCGUUGCACAUGGCCUGCCGAGAAGAUAGAUAGCUACGUAGUGCUAGCUAGCUAGCAAGUUCAACAAUCAAUCAAAUCAGUAUCAGAUACAGGAAGUGCUAUAAUCAGCUCCUCUCACCUAAUAUUCAGGCACACGCGCGCUAUCGGUCACUCCGGCGUAAAGAUUGGACCGUAGGUUCAACGGAGAGGCGCCAACAAACCCAACACCUCCACACCAGUCCACUUCACUCCACUCCCCUAUCCUUGCUCAAAAAAUAUCCAUUCUCGGCGCUUUCUUCCAGGACGUUUGCUGGUGCAUGUGACGUUUCACGCAUCUGGAAACAGGCACAUGGCGCUUUCCUACGUAUUAGCAAGUACAAAUGACAAAAUUAAUUUAUGUACAUAACUACAUAAUACUAUGCAAUGUGAGUUUCGGUGUUAUAAUACUACUUAUCUUGCUAACAUGUGGCCUCUAUACCUUUUCUUUUGAGAAACUGCAUCCUUUAUUAAAGUUCAAACAUUCAUGUGUUUUUUUUUGAGAAAAGUUCAAACAUUCAUGGUGACACAGAUAAUGUUGGGCAAAAGGGAGAACCACACAUGACUCACAAAAGGAAUGGAAGAAGUUGCCUUUGCAAGGGAAUGAGCUUCCCCAUUAUAUUCCCGCUUCUCGUGGAUGAACUUGAGAGCUUGAAACGAGCCACACACAACAAUGGUUAAUUUUCCAAAGGCACUACUAGGAAAAGGGCUAUAGAUAGGAUUGAUACUAAUGGCGCAUCAUGGAAAUAGUGCGCCACUAUUAUAUACUAAUGGCGCACCUGUUGGUGAUGCGCCGUUAGUGUGGAAGACACUAAUGGCGCACCAGAAACAGGGUGCGCCAUUAGUAUUAAUUUUUUUUCCAUUUUCCAUACAUACUAAUGGCGCAUCAGGUCGAACUGCGCCAUUACUAGUUCUAACUAGUAAUGGCGCACUACCACGCGGUGCGCCAUUAGUAAGCUUCCCCCUCACUCCACCUGUUCCCCUCCUUCCCUUCCUCCCAGCCCACUCGACCUAAUUUGCCCCCUCCGCCCCAACCGUACGCCCCCGCCGCCGCCGCCCCCUCCGUCCCCUCCGUCCCCUGCCGCCGCCGCCCCGACCCCCGCCGGAAUNNNNNNNNNNNNNNNNNNNNNNNNNNNNNNNNNNNNNNNNNNNNNNNNNNNNNNNNNNNNNNNNNNNNNNNNNNNNNNNNNNNNNNNNNNNNNNNNNNNNNNNNNNNNNNNNNNNNNNNNNNNNNNNNNNNNNNNNNNNNNNNNNNNNNNNNNNNNNNNNNNNNNNNNNNNNNNNNNNNNNNNNNNNNNNNNNNNNNNNNNNNNNNNNNNNNNNNNNNNNNNNNNNNNNNNNNNNNNNNNNNNNNNNNNNNNNNNNNNNNNNUCCCUCCCCUUCCGCCGCGCCCUCCGCCUCCCCACUGUCCUAGCACCCACGGCGACGACACGAGGCCUCGCGCCCCCGCACCGCCGCAGCCCCGUCGUCUCUGCUCCGGCUUCGGGCCUCCUCCCCUCUCCAGAUGGAGCGCUGCCGGACCUCCGCCCGGCCGCCGCAGCCGCAGCCCGCUCCCGCCUCGGCUCAAACCCCAGGUGCGGCGCCGAUCCACCCGCCAACUCACUAGCCUGCUCUGGCUUCGGGCCUCCUCCCCUCUCUAGAUGGAGCGCUGACGGACCUCCGCCCGGCCGCCGCAGCCGCAGCCCGAUCCCGCCCCGGCCCCAACCCCAGGUGCGGCGCCGCUCCACCCGCCCCGACCCCGGCUGAGGGGCCUCCUCUUUGACGUCCGGGCCAAGAUCGACGCGGAGGCCGCGGCGCCUUCCCGUUCCAGAAGCAGUGCAGCGUCGGCUCCGUGGCGUGCACCGACCCGACCCUCUGCUUCAACAAUGGCAACUCUGAGGUCGGUGGCGCCUGUUGGGAGGACAACUCCGAGACGGCGUCUGCAGACUGCAGGUUCGGUGAAGAUGGCAAUUGCAAUGGCAAUGGCGGUGCGUCGCGGGAGGUCGAUGCUUCGGAACAACCGGUGCGUUCCAGGGAUGUCGUUGAGCUCUGCUUCCCUAGCUGAAUCCAUGAAUGUGGUCAGUGAUUAUUUGGGGUUUUUGCUUCGGUAGUUCUUGCAUGGGAGUUGUUUUACAUUUUUGGUGAAAAUACACUCUCAUGGAACGAAAGGGCAAUCAGUGAGUACAACUGAUAUGAUGUUCUUAUGUCUUGAUACUAUGCUUACUCAUAUAAUAGCAAUAGAAGGAGGUUAAUAGUUAUGCUCAGGAGGAUGUUUUCUGGUACAAAAUUGUAAUGCCAAUAUGCGCUUGAUCUCUGGUUUGGAUUCGUGAGUAUUCAGGCAAUCGGAUGGGACCAUGAUACAGAUAAAAAAAUGCACCGUCUUCGGCUCUUUCUCGCUGUUCAAUAUCAAUUUCUUAGUUAACUUGAGCAUCGAUUCAGAAAAAUUCUUCCACACAUAACCUGAUGAUAUAAGCCUCAACCAAAACUGAAGUAGCAGCAAUUGGUACCGAUAGCUAGCUAGCUUGACUGGAUUAUGUGCUUAAUUCACUGAGUUUGGUUGGUGAAGAUGAAUUAGCAGCUCCCCCAUGUAGCUAGAAUUGGUAUGAUUUCUAUGGAGAAUGACCAAUUCAGCUUCUUACCCCUAAAAAAAAUCAGCUUCUUUAAAACUGACAGCAGGUUCCUCCCAUGUUUCACUUUUUUCUAGUUAGUUUCUUCCAGCUAUAGGUUAGUUUACAGCUAGAAUUAUGUAUUUCAACCAUUUAUAUGUUUAGUUUCCAGCUAUAGGUUAGUUUACAUCUAUUUGCUGCUAAUACAACAUAAUAUUUGAUAUGAGCAGGGUGAACAACCUUCAGGUCCCGGGAAUCUACUCAAGGCUGCAGACACUUCUUGUCUCACUUCUUUUAUCAUCGGUAUAAUAUUCAUAUUAAGGAGUUUCUAUAAGUUCAUUGUUCUUACCUGCAAAUUUCAAAUGAAAGCACAAUCAAUCCAUAUUAAGUGCUCAUCCUAGUGGUAGGCAAAAUAAUUAGGGGAGUGUGUCAUUCUUGCUAUGGUCAUGUAAGAGAAAUGCUCUGCCUUGCUAAUUUUACCAUGAGAUUUGGGGUAAUCAGCUAGUUCUGGUCAAAGCAAGUGGUUUUCCUGAGCUAUGCCUUGGUUAGAAAAUGAUGCAUGAUGGGCAUCAUGCAUGUUAUCAUGCACGUUUCAUGAUCUGUUGUAAGGGUACUAAUUGGUCUCUUCUGCUGCUUAUCAUAGAUGGCGGGCAGCAGCCACCCCCUCUGCGACACCGCAGUACAAGUUGGAUGCUUCCGAGUUCUUCACUAUCAUACUUGAGACUUCAGUAUCAUCCAUGACGCAGGUAUAUAAAACGAGAGAUCUCCCCUUCACCCAUCUCAUUAUGAUAUCUGCUAUUUGCUACAUCAUGAAGGAAAUAUGCCCUAGAGGCAAUAAUAAAGUUAUUAUUUAUUUCCUCAUAUGAUGAUAAAUGUUUAUUAUUCAUGCUAGAAUUGUAUUAACCGGAAACAUGAUACAUGUGUGAAUACAUAGACAAACAUAUAGUCACUAGUAUGCCUCUACUUGACUAGCUCAUUAAUCAAAGAUGGUUAUGUUUCCUAACCAUAGACAUGUGUUGUCAUUUGAUUAAUGGGAUCACAUCAUUAGGAGAAUGAUGUGAUUGACAUGACCCAUUUCGUUAGCCUAGCACUUGAUCGUUUAGUAUAUUGCUAUUGCUUUCUUCAUGACUUAUACAUGUUCCUGUAACUAUGAGAAUUAUGCAACUCCCAUUUACCGGAGGAACACUUUGGGUACUACCAAACGUCACAACGUAACUGGGUGAUUAUAAAGGAGUACUACAGGUGUCUCCGAAGGUACAUGUUGAGUUGGCGUAUUUCGAGAUUAGGUUUUGUCACUCCGAUUGUCGGAGAGGUAUCUCUGGGCCCUCUCGGUAAUGCACAUCAUUAUAAGCCUUGCAAGCAAUGUGACAAAAUGAGUUGGUUAUGGGAUGAUUCAUUACGGAACGAGUAAAGAGACUUACCGGUAACGAGAUUGAACUAGGUAUUGGAUACCGACGAUCAAAUCUCGGGCAAGUAACAUACCGAUGACAAAGGGAACAACAUAUGUUGUUAUGCGGUUUGACCGAUAAAGAUCUUCGUAGAAUAUGUAGGAACCAAUAUGGGCAUCCAGGUUCCGCUAUUGGUUAUUGACCGAGAAUAGUUCUAGGUCAUGUCUACAUAGUUCUCGAACCCGUAGGGUCCGCACGCUUAACGUUACGAUGACAAUUUUAUUAUGAGUUUAUAAGUUUUGAUGUAUCAAAGUUUGUUCGGAGUCCCGGAUGUGAUCACGGACGUAACGAGGAGUCUCGAAAUGGUCGAGACAUAAAGAUCGAUAUAUUGGAAGCCUAUAUUCGGACAUCGGAAUCGUUCGGGGUGAAAUCGGCAUUUUACCGGAGUACCGGGAGGUUACCGGAACCCCCCGGGGGGUUAUUGGGCCUACAUGGGCCUCGAGGGAGAAGAGGGAAGGAGGCAGGAGGGGGCCACACGCCCCUCCCCUUCCUAGUCCGAAUAGGACAAGGAAAGGGGGGCGCCCCCCCCCCCCUUUCCUUCCCCUCUUCCUCCUCUUUCCCCCCUUCUCCUAUUCCGACUAGGAAAGAAGGGAGUCCUACUCCCGGUGGGAGUAGGACUCCCCCCUUGGCGCGCCCUCCUUGGCCGACCGCCUCCUCCCCUUGGCUCCUUUAUAUACGGGGGCGGGGGGCACCCCAUAGACACACAAGUUGAUCUACGGAUCGUUCCUUAGCCAUGUGCGGUGCCCCCCUCCACCAUAUUCCACCUCGGUCAUAUCGUCGUGGAGUUUAGGCGAAGCCCUGCGCCGGUAGAGGAUCAUCAUCGUCACCACGCCGUCGUGCUGACGGAACUCAUCCCCGAAGCUUUGCUAGAUCGGAGCCCGGGGAUCGUCAUUGAGCUGAACGUGUGCUGAACUCGGAGGUGCCGUACGUUCGGUACUUGGAUCGGUCGAAUCGUGAAGACGUACGACUACAUCAACCGCGUUGUCAUAACGCUUCCGCUUACGGUCUACGAGGGUACAUGGACAACACUCUCUCCUCUCGUUGUUAUGCCAUCACCAUGAUCUUGCGUGUACGUAGGAAAUUUUUUGAAAUUACUACGUUCCCCAACAGUGGUAUCAGAGCCUAGGUUUUAUGUGUUGAUGUUAUAUGCAUGAGUAGAACACGAGUGAGUUGUGGGCGAUACAAGUCAUACUGCUUACCAGCAUGUCAUACUUUGGUUCGGCGGUAUUGUGAGAUGAAGCGGCCCGGACCGACAUUAUGCGUACGCUUACGCGAGACUGGUUUCACCGUUACGAGCACAUGUGCUUAAAGGUGGUUGGCGGGUGUCUGUCUCUCUCACUUUAGCUGAAUCGAGUGUGGCUACGCCCGGUCCUUGCGAAGGUUAAAACAACACCAACUUGACGAACUAUCGUUGUGGUUUUUAUGCGUAGGUAAGAACGGUUCUUGCUAAGCCCGUAGCAGCCACGUAAAAUUUGCAACAACAAAGUAGAGGACGUCUCACUAGUUUUUGCAGGGCAUGUUGUGAUGUGAUAUGGUCAAGACGUGAUGCUAUAUUUUAUUAUAUGAGAUGAUCAUGUUUUGUAACCAAAGUUAUCGGCAACUCGCAGGAGCCAUAUGGUUGUCGCUUUAUUGUAUGAAAUGCAAACGCUCUGUAAUUGCUUUACAUUAUCACUAAGCGGUAGCGAUAGUCGUAGAAGCAAUAGAUGGCGUAACGACAACGAUGCUACGAUGGAGAUCAAGGUGUCGCGUCGGUGACGAUGGUGAUCACGACGGUGCUUUGAAGAUGGAGAUCACAAGCACAAGAUGAUGAUGGCCAUAUCAUAUCACUUAUAUUGAUUGCAUGUGAAGUUUAUCCUUUAUGCAUCUUAUCUUGCUUUGAUUGACGGUAGAAUUUUAAGAUGAUCUCUCACUAAUAAUCAAGAAGUGUUCUCCCUGAGUAUGCACCAUUGCGAAAGUUCUUCGUGCUGAGACACCACAUGAUGAUCGGGUGUGAUAGGCUCUACGUUCAAAUACAACAGGUGCAAAACAGUUGCACACGCGGAAUACUCAGGUCAUACUUGACGAGCCUAGCAUAUACAGAUAUGGCCUCGGAACACGGAGACCGAAAGGUUGAACGUGAAUCAUAUAGUAGAUAUGAUCAACAUAGUGAUGUUCACCAUUGAAACUACUCCGUCUCACGUGAUGAUCGGACAUGGUUUAGUUGAUUUGGAUCACGUGAUCACUUAGAUGACUAGAGAGAUGUCCGUCUAAGUGGGAGUUCUUAAGUAAUAUGAUUAAUUGAACUUAAAUUUAUCAUGAACUUAGUACCAGAUAGUAUUUUGCUUGUCUAUGUUUGUUUGUAGAUAGAUGGCUCGUGUUGUUGUUCCGUUGAAUUUUAAUGCGUUCCUUGAGAAAGCAAAGUUGAAAGAUGAUGGUAGCAAUUACACGGACUGGGUCCGUAACCUAAGGAUUAUCCUCAUUGCUGCACAAAAAAGUUACGUCCUGGAAGCACCGCUGGGUGCCAGGCCUGCUGCUGAUGCAACUGACGACGUUAAGAACGUCUGGCAGAGCAAAGCUGAUGACUACUCGAUAGUUCAUGAAGGAAAUAUGCCCUAGAGGCAAUAAUAUAGUUAUUAUUUAUUUCCUUAUUUCAUGAUAAAUGUUUAUUAUUCAUGCUAGAAUUGUAUUAACCGGAAACAUGAUACAUGUGUGAAUACAUAGACAAACAUAUAGUCACUAAUAUGCCUCUACUUGACUAGCUCAUUAAUCAAAGAUGGUUAUGUUUCCUAACCAUAGACAUGUGUUGUCAUUUGAUUAAUGGGAUCACAUCAUUAGGAGAAUGAUGUGAUUGACAUGACCCAUUCCGUUAGCCUAGCACUUGAUCGUUUAGUAUGUUGCUAUUGCUUUCUUUAUGACUUAUACAUGUUCCUGUAACUAUGAGAUUAUGCAACUCCCGUUUACCAGAAGAACACUUUGGGUGCUACCAAACGUCACAACGUAACUGGGUGAUUAUAAAGGAGUACUACAGGUGUCUCCAAAGGUACAUGUUGGGUUGGCGUAUUUCGAGAUUAGGUUUUGCACUCCGAUUGUCGGAGAGGUAUCUCUGGGCCCUCUCGGUAAUGCACAUCACUAUAAGCCUUGCAAGCAAUAUAGCUAAUGAGUUAGUUACGGAAUGAUGCAUUACGUAACGAGUAAAGAGACUUGCCGGUACCGAGAUUGAACUAGGUAUUGGAUACCGACGAUCGAAUCUCGGGCAAGUAACAUAUCGAUGAAAAAGGGAGCAAAGUAUGUUGUUAUGCGGUUUGACCGAUAAAGAUCUUCUUAGAAUAUGUAGGAGCCAAUAUGGGCAUCCUGGUUCCGCUAUUGGUUAUUGACCCAGAAUAGUUCUAGGUCAUGUCUACAUAGUUCUCGAACCCGUAGGGUCCGCACGCUUAAGGUUUCGAUGACAGUUAUAUUAUGAGUUUAUGAGUUUUGAUGUACCAAAGGAGUUCGAAGUCCUGGAUGAGAUCGGGGACAUGACGAGGAGUCUCGAAAUGGUCGAAACGUAAAGAUCGAUAUAUUGGACGACUAUAUUCGGAGUUCGGAAAGGUUCCGUGUGAUUCGGUUAUUUUUCGGAGUACCGGAGAGUUACGGGAAUUCGCCGGGGAGUAUAUGGGCCUUAUUGGGCCAUACGGGAAUAGAGGAGAGAGGCCGAAAGGAAGGAGGCGCGCAGCCCCCCUCUGGUCCGAAUUGGACAAGGGGUGCGGCCCCCUUUUCCUUCCUCCUCUCCCCCUCUUUCCCCCUUCUCCUACUCCAACAAGGAAGGAGGGAGUCCUAUUCCCGGUGGGAGUAGGACUCCCCUUGGCGCGCCCCUUCUAGGCCGGCCGCCCCCUCCCCCCCUUGAUCCUUUAUACACGGGGGCAGGGGGGCACCUCUAGGCACAACAACACAAGUUGAUCUACGGAUCGUUCCUUAGCCGUGUGCGGUGCCCCCCUCCACCAUAUUCCACCUCGGUCAUAUCGUCGCGGUGUUUAGGCGAAGCCCUGCGCCGAUAGAGCAUCAUCAUCGUCACCACGCCGUCGUGCUGACGGAACUCAUCCCCGACACUUUGCUGGAUCGGAGUCCGGGGAUCGUCAUCGAGCUAAACGUGUGCUGAACUCGGAGGUGUCGUACGUUCGGCACUUGGAUCGGUCGGAUCGUGAAGACGUACGACUACAUCAACCGUGUUGUCAUAACGCUUCCGCUUACGGUCUACGAGGGUACGUGGACAACACUCUCUCCUCUUGUUGCUAUGCCAUCACCAUGAUCUUGCGUGUACGUAGGAUUUUUUUUGAAAUUACUACGUUCCCCAACAGUGGCAUCCGAGCCAGGUUUUAUGCGUAGAUGUCAUAUGCACGAGUAGAACACAAGUGAGUGGUGGGUGAUACAAGUCAUACUGCUUACCAGCAUGUCAUACUUUGGUUCGGCGGUAUUGUGAGAUGAAGCGGCCCGGACCGACAUUACGUGUACGCUUACGCGAGACUGGUUUCAUCGUUACGAGCACUCGUGCUUAAAGGUGGCUGGCGGGUGUCUGUCUCUCUCACUUUAGCUGAAUCGAGUGUGGCUACGCCCGGUCUUUGCGAAGGUUAAAACAACACUAACUUGACGAACUAUCGUUGUGGUUUUGAUGCGUAGGUAAGAACGGUUCUUGCUAAGCCCGUAGCAGCCACGUAAAAUCUGCAACAACAAAGUAGAGGACGUCUAACUUGUUUUUGCAGGGCAUGUUGUGAUGUGAUAUGGUCAAGACGUGAUGAGAUAUAAGUUGUUGUAUGAGAUUAUCAUGUUUUGUUGAAGUUAUCGGCAACUGGCAGAAGCCCUAUGGUUGUCUCUUUGUUGCAUAAGAUGCAAGUGCCAAAUAAUUGCUUUACUUUAUCGCUAUGCGAUAGCAAUAGUUGCAAGAGCAAUAGUUGGCGAGACGACCAUGUAACGACACAUUGAUAUAGAUCAAGAUGAUGAAGAUCAUGGUGUCGUGCCGGUAACGAUAGAGAUCAUGACAGUACUUUGGAGAUGGAGAUCAAAGGCGCAAGAUGAUCAUGGCCAUAUCAUGUCACAUAUUUUGAUUGCAUAUGAUGUUUAUCUGUUAUACAUCUUAUUCUGUUUUGUUUGACAGUAGCAUUUUAAGAUGAUCUCUCACUAAUUAUCAAGAAGUGUUCUCCCUGAGUAUGCACCAUUGCGAAAGUUCUUCGUGCUGAGACACCACGUGAUGAUCGGGUGUGAUAGGCUUUACUUUCAAAUACAACGGGUGCAAAACAGUUGCACACGCGGAAUACUGAGGUUAAACUUGACGAGCCUAGCAUAUACAGAUAUGGCCUCGGAACACGGAGACCGAAAGGUCGAGCGUGAAUCAUAUAGUAGAUAUGAUCAACAUAUUGAUAUUCACCGUUGAAACUACUCCAUCUCACGUGACGAUCGGACAUGGUGUAGUUGAUAUGGAUCAUGUAAUCACUUAGAGGAUUAGAGGGAUGUCUAUCUAAGUGGGAGUUCUUAAGUAAUAUGAUUAAUUGAACUUAAAUUUAUCAUGAACUUAGUCCUGGUAGUAUUUUGCAAAUUAUGUUGUAGAUCAAUAGCUUGCGUUGUUGCUUUCAUAUGUUUAUUUUGAUAUGUUCCUAGAGAAAAUUGUGUUGAAAGAUGUUAGUAGCAAUGAUGCGGAUUGGAUCCGUGAUCUGAGGUUUAUCCUCAUUGCUGCACAGAAGAAUUAUGUCCUUAAUGCACCGCUAGGUGACGGACCUAUUGCAGGAGCAGACGCAAACGUUAUGAACGUUUGGCUAGCUCAAUAUGAUUACUACUUGAUAGUUUAGUGCACCAUGAUUAAUGGCUUAGAAUCGGGACUUCAAAGAUGUUUUGAACGUCAUGGACCAUAUGAGAUGUUCCAGGAAUUGAAGUUAAUAUUUCAAGCAAAUACCCGAGUUGAGAGAUAUGAAGUCUCCAACAAGUUCUAUAGCUAAAAGAUGGAGGAGAAUCGCUCAACUAGUAAGCAUGUGCUCAGAUUGUCUGGGUACUUCAAUCACUUGAAUCAAGUGGGAGUUAAUCUUCCAGAUAAGAUAGUGAUUGACAGAAUUCUCUAGUCACCAUCACUAAGUUACUAGAACUUUGUGAUGAACUAUAGUAUGCAAGGGAUGACGAAAACAAUUCCCGAGCUCUUCGUGAUGUUGAAAUCGAUGAACGUAGAAAUCAAGAAAGAGCAUCAAGUGUUGAUGAUUGACAAGACCACUAGUUUCAAGAAAAGGGCAAAGGGAAAGAAAGGGAACUUCAAGUAGAAUGACAAGCAAGUUGUCACUCCCACGAAGAAGCCCAAAGCUGAACCAAAGCCUGAAACUGAGUGCUUACACUGCAAAGGAAAUGGUCACUGGAAGCCGAAAUGCCCUAAAUAUUUGGUGGAUAAGAAGGAUGGCAAAGUGAACAAGGGUAUAUUUGAUAUACAGGUUAUUGAUAUGUGCUUUACUAGUGUUUAUAGUAACCCCUGAGUAUUUGAUACUUGUUCAGUUGCUAAGAUUAGUAACUCGAAACAGGAGUUACAGAAUAAACAGAAACUAGUUGAGGGUGAAGUGAUGAUGUGUGUUGGAAGUGGUUCCAAGAUUGAUAUGAUCAUCAUCGCACACUCCCUAUACUUUCGGGAUUAGUGUUAAACCUAAAUAAAUGUUAUUUGGCGUUUGCAUUGAGCAUGAAUAUGAUUUGAUCAUGUUCAUUGCAAUACGGUUAUUCAUUUAAAGUCAAAGAAUAAUUGUUGUUCUGUUUACAUGAAUAAAACCUUCAAAUGGUCAUACACCCAAUGAAAUUGGUUGUUGGAUCUCGAUCGUAGUGAUACACAUAUUCAUAAUAUUGAUGCCAAAAGAUGCAAAGUUAAUAAUGAUAGUGCAACUUAUUUGUGGCACUGCCGUUUGGGUCAUAUUGGUGUAAAGCGCAUGAAGAAACUCCAUAAAGAUGGAUUUUCGUAAUCACUUGGUUAUGAAUCAUUUGAUGCUUGCGAACCAUGCCUUUUGGGCAAGAUGACUAAAAACUCCGUUCUCCGGAACAAUGGAACGAGCUAGUGACUUAUUGGAAAUAAUACAUACCGAUGUAUGCGGUCCAAUGAGUGUUGAUGCUCGUGGCGUGUAUCGUUAUUUUCUGAUCUUCACAAAAUGAAUUGAGUAGAUAUGAGUAUAUCUACUUAAUGAAGCACAAGUCUGAAACAUUUGAAAAGUUCAAAGAAUUUCAGAGUGAAGUGGAGAAUCAUCGUAACAAGAAAAUUAAGUUUCUGCAAUUUGAUCACGGAGACAAAUAUUUGAGUUAUGAGUUUGGUCUUCAAUUAAAAUAAUGUGGAAUAGUUUCACAAACUCAUGCCACCUGGAACACCACAGCUUAAUGGUGUGUCCGAACGUCAUAACAAGUACUUUAUUGGAUAUAGUGCAAUCUAUGAUGUCUCUUACCUAUUUACCACUAUCGUUUUGGGGUUAUGCAUUAGAGACAGCUGCAUUCACGUUUAAUAGGGCUCCAUCUGAAUCCGUUGAGACGACACGGUAUGAACUAUGGUUUAGCGGUAAACCUAAGUUAUCGUUUCUUAAAGUUUGGAGUUGCGAUGCUCAUGUGAAAAAGUUUCAACCUGAUAAGAUUGAACCCAAAUCGAAGAAGUGCGUCUUCAUAGAAUACCCAAAGGAAACUGUUGGGUACACCUUCUAUCACAGAUCCGAAGGAAAAUUAUUCGUUGCUAAGAUGGAUCCUUUCUAGAGAAGAAGUUUCUCUCGACAGAAGUGAGUGGGAGGAAAGUAGAACUUGAUGAGGUAACUGUACCUACUCCCUCAUUCGAAAGUAGUUCAUCACAGAAAUCUGUUCCUGUGACUACUACACCAAUUAGUGAGGAAGUUAAUGAUGAUGAUCAUGAAACUUCAGAUUAAGUUACUACAGAAUCUCGUAGGUCUUACAGAGUAAGAUCCGCACCAGAGUGGUACGGUAAUCCUGUUCUGGAAGUUAUGUUACUAGACCAUGACGAACCUACGAACUAUGAAGAAGCGAUGGUGAGCCCAGAUUCCGCAAAAUGGCUUGAGCCAUGAAAUCUGAGAUAAGAUCCAUGUAUGAAAACAAAGUAUGGACUUUGAUUGACUUGCCCAAUGAUCGGCGAGACAUUGAGAUUAAAUGGAUCUUCAAGAGGAAGAUGGACGCUGAUAGUGUUACUAUCUACAAAGCUAGAAUUGUCGCAAAAGGUUUUCGACAAGUUCAAGGUGUUGACUACGAUGAGAGUUUUUCACUCGUAUCUAUGCUUAAGUCUGUCUGAAUCAUGUUAGCAAUUGCCACAUUUCAUGAAAUCUGGCAAAUGGAUAAACAAAACUGCAUUCCUUAAUGGUUUUCUUAAAGAAGUGUUGUAUAUAAUGCAACCAGAAGGUUUUGUCAAUCCUAAAGGUGCUAACAAAUUGUGCAAGCUCCAGGGUUCCAUCUAUGGACUGGUGCAAGCAUCUCGGAGUUGGAAUAUAUGCUUUGAUGAGUUGAUCAAAGCAUAUGGUUUUAUACAGAAUUUUGAAGAAGCCUGUAUUUACAAGAAAGUGAGUGGGAGCUCUGUAGCAUUUCUAAUAUUAUAUGUGGAUGACAUAUUGUUAAUUGGAAAUGAUAUGGAAAUUCUGGAUAGCAUGAAAGGAUACUUGAAUAAGAGUUUUUCAAAGCAAGAUCUCGAUGAAGCUGCUUACACAUUGAGCAUCAAGAUCUAUAUAGAUAGAUCAAGACGCUUGAUAAGAUUUUUCAAUGAGUACAUACCUUGAUAAAUUUUUGAAAUAGUUCAAAAUGGAACAGUCAAAGAAGGAGUUCUUGCAUGUGUUACAAGGUGUGAAGUUGAGUAAGACUCAUGACCCGGCCAUUGCAGAAAAUAGAAAGAGAAUGAAAAGUCAUUCCCUAUGCCUCAGUCAUAGGUUCUAUAAAGUAUGCUAUGCUGUGAACCAGACCUAUUGUAUACCUUGCUCUGUGUUUGGCAAAGGAAUACAAUUUUGAUCUAAUAAGUAGAUCACUGGACAUGGGUCAAGAAUAUCCUUAGUGAGGACUAAGGAGAUGUUUCUCGAUUAUCGAGGUGAUAAAAGAGCCUGUCGUUAAUGUUACAACGAUGCAAGCUUUUACACCAAUCCAGAUGACUGUAAGUCUCAAUCUGGAUACAUAUUGAAAGUGGGAGCAAUUAGCUAGAGUAGCUCCGUGCAGAGCAUUGUGGACAUAGAAUAUUUGCGAAAUACAUACGGCUCUAAAUAUGACAGACCCGUUGACUAAGCUUCUCUCACGAGCAAAACAUGAUCAUACCUUAGUACUCUUUUGGGUGUUAAUCACAUAGCGAUGUGAACUAGAUUAUUGACUCUAGUAAACCCUUUGGGUGUUGAUCACAUGAUGAUGUGAACUAUGGGUAUUAAUCACAUGCAGAUGUGAAUAUUGAUGUUAAAUCACAUAGUGAUGUGAACUAGAUUAUUGACUCUAGUGCAAGUGUGAGACUGAAGAAAAUAUGCCCUAGAGGCAAUAAUAAAGUUAUUAUUUAUUUCCUUAUUUCAUGAUAAAUGUUUAUUAUUCAUGCUAGAAUUGUAUUAACCGGAAACAUGAUACAUGUGUGAAUACAUAGACAAACAUAUAGUCACUAGUAUGCCUCUACUUGACUAGCUCAUUAAUCAAAGAUGGUUAUGUUUCCUAACCAUAGACAUGUGUUGUCAUUUGAUUAAUGGGAUCACAUCAUUAGGAGAAUGAUGUGAUUGACAUGACCCAUUCCGUUAGCCUACCACUUGAUCGUUUAGUAUGUUGCUAUUGCUUUCUUCAUGACUUAUACAUGUUCCUGUAACUAUGAGAUUAUGCAACUCCCGUUUACCGAAGGAACAUUUUGGGUGCUACCAAACAUCACAACGUAACUGGGUGAUUAUAAAGGAGUACUACAGGUGUCUCCAAAGGUACAUGUUGGGUUGGCGUAUUUCGAGAUUAGGUUUUGUCACUCUGAUUGUCGGAGAGGUAUCUCUGGGCCCUCUCGGUAAUGCACAUCACUAUAAGCCUUGCAAGCAAUGUAGCUAAUGAGUUUUUUACGGAAUGAUGCAUUACGUAACGAGUAAAGAGACUUGCCGGUAACGAGAUUGAACUAGGUAUUGGAUACCGACGAUCGAGUCUCGGGCAAGUAACAUACCGAUGACAAAGGGAGCAAAAUAUGUUGUUAUGCGGUUUGACCGAUAAAGAUCUUCGUAGAAUAUGUAGGAACCAAUAUGGGCAUCCAGGUUCCGCUAUUGGUUAUUGACCAAGAAUAGUUCUAGGUCAUGUCUACAUAGUUCUCGAACCCGUAGGGUCCACACGCUUAAGGUUUCGAUGACAGUUAUAUUAUGAGUUUAUGAGUUUUGAUGUACCAAAGGAGUUUGGAGUCCCGGAUGAGAUCGGAACAUGACGAGGAGUCUCGAAAUGGUCGAGACGUAAAGAUCGAUAUAUUGGACGACUAUAUUCGGAGUUCGGAAAGGUUCCGAGUGAUUCGGGUAUUUUUCGGAGUACCGGAGAGUUACGGGAAUUCGCCGGGGAGUAUAUGGGCCUUAUUGGGCCAUACGGGAAUAGAGGAGAGAGGCCGAAAGGAAGGAGGCGUGCAGCCCCCCUCUGGUCCGAAUUGGACAAGGGGUGCGGCCCCCUUUUCCUUCCUCCUCUCCCCCUCUUUCCCCCUUCUCCUACUCCAACAAGGAAGGAGGGAGUCCUACUCCCGGUGGGAGUAGGACUCCCCUUGGCGCGCCCCUCCUAGGCCGGCCGCCCCCUCCCCCCGUUGCUCCUUUAUAUACGGGGGCAGGAGGGCACCUCUAGGCACAACAACACAAGUUGAUCUACGGAUCAUUCCUUAGCCGUGUGCGGUGCCCCCCUCCACCAUAUUCCACCUCGGUCAUAUCGUCGCGGUGUUUAGGCGAAGCCCUGCGCCGGUAGAGCAUCAUCAUCGUCACCACGCCGUCGUGCUGACGGAACUCAUCCCCGACACUUUGCUGGAUCGGAGUCCAGGGAUCGUCAUCGAGCUGAACGUGUGCUGAACUCGGAGGUGCCGUACGUUCGGUACUUGGAUCGGUCGGAUCGUGAAGACGUACGACUACAUCAACCGCGUUGUCAUAACGCUUCUGCUUACGGUCUACGAGGGUACGUGGACAACACCCUCUCCUCUCGUUGCUAUGCCAUCACCAUGAUCUUGCGUGUACGUAGGAUUUUUUUUGAAAUUACUACGUUCCCCAACAGUUCAGUGUGCCAUGCUUUACGGCUUAGAGCCGGGUCUUCAACGAUGUUUUGAACGUCAUGGAGCAUAUGAGAUGUUCCAGGAGUUGAAGUUAAUAUUUCAAGCAAAUGCCCGGAUUGAGAGAUAUGAAGUCUCCAAUAAGUUCUAUAGCUGCAAGAUGGAGGAGAAUAGUUCUGUCAGUGAACAUAUACUCAAAAUGUCUGGGUAUAAUAAUCACUUGAUUCAACUGGGAGUUAAUCUUCCUGAUGAUAGUGUCAUUGACAGAAUUCUUCAAUCACUGCCACCAAGCUACAAGUGCUUCGUGAUGAACUAUAAUAUGCAAGGGAUGAACAAGACUAUUCCCGAGCUCUUCGCGAUGCUAAAAGCCGUGGAGGUAGAAAUCAAGAAGGAGCAUCAAGUGUUGAUGGUUAACAAGACCACCAGUUUCAAGAAAAAGGGCAAAGGGAAGAAGAAGGGGAACUUCAAAAAGAACAGCAAGCAAGUUGCAGCUCAAGAGAAGAAACGCAAGUCUGGACCUAAGCCUGAAACUGAGUGCUUCUACUGCAAGCAAACUGGACACUGGAAGCGGGACUGCCCCAAGUAUUUGGCGGAUAAGAAGGAUGGCAAAGUGAACAAAGGUAUAUGUGAUAUACAUGUUAUUGAUGUGUACCUUACUAAUGCUCGCAGUAGCACCUGGGUAUUUGAUACUGGUUCUGUUGCUAAUAUUUGCAACUCGAAACAGGGACUACAGAUUAAGCGAAGAUUGGCUAAGGACGAGGUGACGAUGCGCGUGGGAAAUGGUUCCAAAGUCGAUGUGAUCGCGGUCGGCACGCUACCUCUACAUCUACCAUCGGGAUUAGUUUUAGACCUAAAUAAUUGUUAUUUGGUGCCAGCGUUGAGCAUGAACAUUAUAUCUGGAUCUUGUUUGAUGUGAGACGGUUAUUCAUUUAAAUCAGAGAAUAAUGGUUGUUCUAUUUAUAUGAGUAAUAUCUUUUAUGUUCAUGCACCCUUGAAAAGAGGUCUAUUUUUAUUGAAUCUCGAUAGUAGUAAUACACAUAUUCAUAGUGUUGAAACCAAAAGAUGUAGAGUUGAUAACGAUAGUGCAACUUAUUUGUGGCACUGAUGUUUAGGUCAUAUCGGUGUAAAGCGCAUGAAGAAACUCCAUACUGAUGGGCUUUUGGAAUCACUUGAUUAUGAAUCACUUGGUACUUGCGAACCGUGCCUCAUGGACAAGAUGACUAAAACGCCGUUCUCCGGAACUAUGAGCGAGCAACUGAUUUGUUGGAAAUCAUACAUACUGAUGUUUGUGGUCCAAUGAAUGUUGAGGCUCGCGGCGGGUAUCGUUAUUUUCUCACCUUCACAGAUGAUUUGAGCAGAUAUGGGUAUAUCUACUUGAUGAAACACAAGUCUGAAACAUUUGAAAAGUUCAAAGAAUUUCAGAGUGAAGUGGAAAAUCAUCGUAACAAGAAAAUAAAAUUUCUAUGAUCUGAUCGUGGAGGAGAAUAUUUGAGUUAUGAGUUUGGUUUACACUUGAAACAAUGCAUAAUAGUUUCGCAACUCACGCCACCCGGAACACCACAACGAAAUGGUGUGUCCGAACGUCGUAAUCGUACUUUACUAGAUAUGGUGCGAUCUAUGAUGUCUCUUACUGAUUUACCGCUAUCGUUUUGGGGUUAUGCUUUAGAGACGGUCGCAUUCACGUUAAAUAGGGCACCAUCAAAAUCCGUUGAGAUGACGCCUUAUGAACUGUGGUUUGGCAAGAAACCAAAGUUGUUGUUUCUUAAAGUUUGGGGUUGCGAUGCUUAUGUGAAGAAACUUCAACCAGAUAAGCUCGAACCCAAAUCGGAGAAAUGUGUCUUCAUAGGAUACCCAAAAGAGACUAUUGGGUACACCUUCUAUCACAGAUCUGAGGGCAAGAUUUUCGUUGCUAAAAUCGGAUCCUUUCUAGAGAAGGAGUUUCUCUCGAAAGAAGUGAGUGGGAGGAAAGUAGAACUUGAUGAGAUAACGGUGUCUACUCCCUUAUUGGAAAGUAGUUCAUCACAAGAACCGGUUCCUGUGACAACUACACCAAUUAGUGAGGAAGCUAAUGAUAUUGAUCAUGAAACUUCAGAUCAAGUUUCUACUGAACCUCGUAGGUCUACCAGAGUAAGAUUCGCACCAGAGUGGUACGGUAAUCCAAUUCUGGAAGUCAUGUUGCUUGACCAUGAUGAACCUACGAACUAUGAGGAAGCGAUGAUGAGCCCAGAUUCCGCAAAAUGGCUAGAGGCCAUGAAAUCUGAGAUGGGAUCCAUGUAUGAAAACAAAGUAUGGACUUUGGUUGACUUGCCCGAUGAUCGGCAAGCAAUUGAGAAUAAAUGGAUCUUUAAGAAGAAGACUGACGCUGAUGGUAAUGUAACUGUCUAUAAAGCUCGACUUGUUGCGAAAGGUUUUCGACAAGUUCAAGGAGUUGACUACGAUGAGACUUUCUCACUCGUAGCGAUGCUUAAGUCUGUCCGAAUCAUGUUAGCUAUUGCUGCAUUUCAUGAUUGUGAAAUUUGGCAAAUGGAUGUCAAAACUGCAUUCUUGAAUGGAUUUCUGGAAGAAUAGUUGUAUAUGAUGGAGCCAGAAGGUUUUGUUGAUCCAAAAGGUGCUAACAAAGUGUGCAAGCUUCAGCGUUCCAUUUAUGGACUGGUGCAAGCAUCUCGGAGUUGGAAUAAACGCUUUGAUAGUGUGAUCAAAUCAUAUGGUUUUAUACAGACGUUUGGAGAAGCCUGUAUUUACAAGAAAGUGAGUGGGAGCUCUGUAGCAUUUCUGAUAUUAUAUGUAGAUGACAUAUUAUUAAUUAGAAAUGAUAUAGAAUUUCUGGAUAGCAUAAAGGGAUACUUGAAUAAAAGUUUUUCAAUGAAAGACCUCGGUGAAGCUGCUUACAUAUUGGGCAUCAAGAUCUAUAGAGAUAGAUCAAGACGCUUAAUAGGACUUUCACAAAGCACAUACCUUGAUAAAAUUUUGAAAAGGUUCAAAAUGGAUCAGGAAAAGAAAGGGUUCUUGCCCGUACUACAAGGUGUGAAGUUGAGUCAAACUCAAUGCCCGACCACAGCAGAAGAUAGAGAGAAAAUGAAAGAUGUUCCCUAUGCUUCAGCCAUAGGCUCUAUCAUGUAUGCAAUGUUGUGUACCAGACAUGAUGUAUGCUUAGCAAUAAGCUUGGCAGGAAGGUACCAAAGUAAUCCAGGAGUGGAUCACUGGACAGCGGUCAAGAACAUCCUGAAAUACCUGAAAAGGACUAAGGAUAUGUUUCUCGUAUAUGGAGGUGACAAAGAGCUAGUUGUAAAUGGUUACGUCGAUGCAAGCUUUGACACUGAUCCGGACGAUUCUAAAUCGCAAACCGGAUACGUGUUUUUAUUAAACAGUGGAGCUGUAAGUUGGUGCAGUUCUAAAAAAAGCGUCGUGGCGGGAUCUACAUGUGAAGCGGAGUACAUAGCUGCUUCGGAAGCAGCAAAUGAAGGAGUCUGGAUGAAAGAGUUCAUUUCUGAUCUAGGUGUCAUACCUAGUGCAUCGGGACCAAUGAAAAUCUUCUGUGACAAUACUGGUGCAAUUGCCUUGGCAAAUGAAUCCAGAUUUCACAAGAGGACCAAGCACAUCAAGAGACGCUUCAAUUCCAUUCGGGACCAAGUCUAAGUGGGAGACAUAGAGAUUUGCAAGAUACAUACGGAUCUGAAUGUUGCAGACCCGUUGACUAAGCCACUCUCACGAGCAAAACAUGAUCAGCACCAAGACUCCAUGGGUGUUAGAAUCAUUACUUUGUAAUCUAGAUUAUUGACUCUAGUGCAAGUAGGAGACUGAAGGAAAUAUGCCCUAGAGGCAAUAAUAAAGUUAUUAUUUAUUUCCUCAUAUCAUGAUAAAUGUUUAUUAUUCAUGCUAGAAUUGUAUUAACCGGAAACAUGAUACAUGUGUGAAUACAUAGACAAACAUAUAGUCACUAGUAUGCCUCUACUUGACUAGCUCAUUAAUCAAAGAUGGUUAUGUUUCCUAACCAUAGACAUGUGUUGUCAUUUGAUUAAUGGGAUCACAUCAUUAGGAGAAUGAUGUGAUUGACAUGACCCAUUCCGUUAGCCUAGGACUUGAUCGUUUAGUAUAUUGCUAUUGCUUUCUUCAUGACUUAUACAUGUUCCUGUAACUAUGAGAAUUAUGCAACUCCCGUUUACCGGAGGAACACUUUGGGUACUACCAAACGUCACAACGUAACUGGGUGAUUAUAAAGGAGUACUGCAGGUGUCUCCGAAGGUACAUGUUGAGUUGGCAUAUUUCGAGAUUAGGUUUUGUCACUCCGAUUGUCGGAGAGGUAUCUCUGGGCCCUCUCGGUAAUGCACAUCAUUAUAAGCCUUGCAAGCAAUGUGACCAAAUGAGUUGGUUACGGGAUGAUGCAUUACGGAACGAGUAAAGAGACUUGCCGGUAACGAGAUUGAACUAGGUAUUGGAUACCGACGAUCAAAUCUCAGGCAAGUAACAUAUCGAUGACAAAGGGAACAACGUGUGUUGUUAUGCGGUUUGACUAAUAUAGAUCUUCGUAGAAUAUGUAGGAACCAAUAUGGGCAUCCAGGUUGCGCUAUUGGUUAUUGACCGAGAAUAGUUCUAUGUCAUGUAUACAUAGUUCUCGAACCCGUAGGGUCCGCACGCUUAACGUUACGAUGACAGUUUUAUUAUGAGUUUAUAAGUUUUGAUGUACCGAAGCUUGUUCGGAGUCCCGGAUGUGAUCACGGACGUAAUGAGGAGUCUCGAAAUGGUCGAGACAUAAAGAUCGAUAUAUUGGAAGCCUAUAUUUGGACAUCAGAAUCGUUCCUGGUGAAAUUGGCAUUUUACCGGAGUACCGGGAGGUUACCGGAACCCCCCGGGGGGUUAUUGGGCCUACAUCGGCCUCAAGGGAGAAGAGGGAAGGAGGCAGGAGGGGGCCGCGUGCCCCUCCCCUUCCUAGUCCGAAUAGGACAAGGGAAGGGGGGCGCCCCCCCCCUUCCUUCCCCUCUUCUGUUGGAAAUAUGCCCUAGAGGCAAUAAUAAAAGCAUUAUUAUUAUAUUUCCUUGUUCAUGAUUAUUGUCUUUUAUUCAUGCUAUAAUUGUAUUAUCCGGAAAUCGUAAUACACGUGUGAAUACAUAGACCAUAAAAUGUCCCUAGUGAGCCUCUAGUUGACUAGCUCGUUGGUCAAUAGAUAGUCAUGGUUUCCAGACUAUGGACAUUAGAUGUCAUUGACAACGGGAUCACAUCAUUAGGAGAAUGAUGUGAUGGACAAGACCCAAUCCUAAGCAUAGCACAAGAUCGUGUAGUUCGUUUUUCUAGAGCUUUUUCAAUGUAAAGUAUCUCUUCCUUAGACCAUGAGAUCGUGUAACUCCCGGAUACCGUAGGAGUGCUUUGGGUGUACCAAACGUCACAACGUAACUGGGUGACUAUAAAGGUGCACUACAGGUAUCUCCGAAAGUGUCUGUUGGGUUGACACGGAUCGAGACUAGGAUUUGUCACUCCGUAUGACGGAGAGGUGUCUCUGGGCCCACUCGGUAAUGCAUCAUCAUAAUGAGCUCAAAGUGAUCAAGUGUUUGGUCACGGGAUCAUGUGUUACGGUACGAGUAAAGUGACUUGCAGGUAACGAGACUGAACGAGGUAUUGGGAUACCGACGAUCGAGUCUCGGGCUUGUAACGUACCGAUUGACAAAGGGAAUACUAUACGGGGUUGCUUGAAUCCUCGACAUCGUGGUUCAUCUGAUGACAUCAUCGAGGAGCAUGUGGGAGCCAACAUGGGUAUCCAGAUCCCGCUGUUGGUUAUUGAUCUGAGAGCCGUCUCGGUCAUGUCUGCGUGUCUCCCGAACCCGUAGGGUCUACACACUUAAGGUUCGGUGACGCUAGGGUUAUUAGGAAGACUUGUAUGUGAUUACCGAAUGUUGUUCGGAGUCCCGGAUGAGAUCCCGGACGUCACGACGAGUUCCGGAAUGGUCCGGAGGUAAAGAUUUAUAUAUGGGAAACUGUCAUACGGACAUCGGAAGGUUUCGGGGGCAUAUUGGUAUUGUACCGGGGCCACUAGAAGGGUUCCGGGGGUCCAGCGGGAGGGACCACCCCUCCCGGGGGGCCACAUGGGCUGCGUGGGGCAGGAGCCAGCCCCUGGAGGGCUGGGCGCCCCCCCCUUGGGCCCAUGCGCCUAGGGUUGGGGGGAACCCUAGAGGGGGCGCCCCCCUUGCUUGGGGGGCAAGCUCCCCCUCCCUGGCCGCCGCCCCCCCUCUAGAUCCCAUCUAGAGGGGCCGGCCCCCCUUGCCCCUUCCCCUAUAAAUAGAGGGGUGAGGGGAGGGCUGCAUACACAAGCCAAGGCGCAGCCCCUCCCCUCCCCAACACCUCUCCUCCUCCGUACGUGCUUGGCGAAGCCCUGUCGGAGCACUGCUACACCAACAACACCACGCCGUCGUGCUGCCGUUGGAGCUGUCUUCCUCAACCUCUCCUUCCCCCUUGCUGGAUCAAGAAGGAGGAGACGUCAUCCGCUCCGUACGUGUGUUGAACGCGGAGGUGCCGUCCGUUCGGUGCUAGGAUCUCCGGUGAUAGGAUCACAACGAGAACGACUACUUCAACCCCGUUCUUUUGAACGCUUCCGCUCGCGAUCUACAAAGUGGUAUGUAGAUGCAUCUCCCAUGACUCGUUGCUUAGAUGAACUCAUAGAUGGAUCUUGGUGAAACCGUAGGAAAAUUUUAAUUUUCUGCAACGUUCCCCAACAGUGGCAUCAUGAGCUAGGUCUAUGCGUAGUUCUCUAUUGCACGAGUAGAACACAAUUUAGUUGUGGGCGUAUAUUUUGUCAACUUGCUUGCCACUACUAGUCUUAUCUUGCUUCAGCGGUAUUGUGGGAUGAAGCGGCCCGGACCAACCUUACACGUACACUUACGUGAGACCGGUUCCACCGACUAACAUGCACUACUUGCAUAAGGUGGCUGGCGGGUGUCUGUCUCUCCCACUUUAGUUGAAGCGGAUUCGAUGAAAAGGGUCCUUAUGAAGGGUAAAUAGAAAUUGACAAGAUCACGUUGUGGUUAUUCGUAGGUAAGAAAACGUUCUUGCUAGAACCCAAUUGCAACCACAUAAAAGAUGCAACAACAAUUAGAGGACGUCUAACUUGUUUUUGCAGCAAUUGUCAUGUGAUGUGAUAUGGCUAGAAGUUGUGAUGAAUGAUGAAUGAUAUAUUGUGAUGUAUGAGAUCAUGUUCUUGUAAUAGGAAUCACGACUUGCAUGUUGAUGAGUAUGACAACCGGCAGGAGCCAUAGGAGUUGUCUUUAUUUUUGUAUGACCUGCGUGUCAUUGAAGAACGCCAUGUAAAUUACUUUACUUUGUUGCUAAACGCGUUAGCCAUAGAAGUAGAAGUAUUCGUUGGCGUGACAACUUCAUGAAGACACGAUGAUGGAGAUCAUGAUGAUGGAGAUCAUGGUGUCAUGCCGGUGACGAAGAUGACCAUGGAGCCCCGAAGAUGGAGAUCGAAGGAGCUAUAUGAUAUUGGCCAUAUCAUAUCACUAUUAUAUAAUUGCAUGUGAUGUUUAUUAUGUUUAUGCAUCUUGUUUACUUAGAACGACGGUAGUAAAUAAGAUGAUCCCUUACAAAAUUUCAAGAAGUGUUCUCCCCUAACUGUGCACCAUUGCUAAAGUUCGUCGUUUCGAAGCACCACGUGAUGAUCGGGUGUGAUAGAUCCUUACGUUCACAUACAACGGGUGUAAGACAGUUUUACACAUGCAAAACACUUAGGGUUAACUUGACGAGCCUAGCAUGUACAGAUAUGGCCUCGGAACACGAAGACCGAAAGGUCGAACACGAGUCGUAUGGAAGAUACGAUCAACAUGAGAAUGUUUCACCGACGAUGACUAGUCCGUCUCACGUGAUGAUCGGACACGGCCUAGUCGACUCGGAUCGUGUAACACUUAGAUGACUAGAGGGAUGUCUAAUCUGAGUGGGAGUUCAUUAUAUUAAUUUGAUUAGAUGAACUUAAUUAUCAUGAACUUAGUCUUAAACCUUUGCAAAAUAUGUCUUGUAGAUCAAAUGGCCAACGCUCAUGUCAACAUGAACUUCAACGCGUUCCUAGAGAAAACCAAGCUGAAAGAUGAUGGCAGCAACUAUACGGACUGGGUCCGGAACCUGAGGAUCAUCCUCAUAGCUGCCAGGAAACAAUAUGUCCUAGAAGGACCGCUAGGUGACGCUCCCGUCCCAGAGAACCAAGACAUUAUGAAUGCUUGGCAGUCUCGUGCUGAUGAUUACUCCCUCGUUCAGUGCGGCAUGCUUUACAGCUUAGAACCAGGGCUCCAAAAGCGUUUUGAGCAACACGGAGCAUAUGAGAUGUUCGAGGAGCUGAAACUAGUUUUCCAAGCUCAUGCCCGGGUCGAGAGAUAUGAAGUCUCCGACAAGUUCUAUAGUUGUAAGAUGGAGGAAAAUAGUUCUGUCAGUGAGCAUAUACUCAAAAUGUCUGGGUUGCACAACCGCCUGUCCCAGCUGGACAUUAACCUCCUGGAUGAGGCGGUCAUUGACAGAAUCCUUCAGUCGCUCCCACCAAGCUACAAGAGCUUCGUAAUGAACUACAAUAUGCAGGGGAUGGUGAAGACCAUUCCUGAAGUAUUUUCAAUGCUGAAGUCGGCAGAGGUUGAAAUCAAGAAAGAACAUCAAGUGUUGAUGGUCAAUAAGACCACUAAGUUCAAGAAGGGCAAGGGUAAGUAGAACUUCAAGAAGGACGGCAAAGAUGGUGCCGCGCCCGGUAAGCCAGUUGCCGGGAAGAAGUCAAAGCAUGGACCCAAGCCUAAAACUGAGUGCUUUUAUUGCAAGGGGAAGGGCCACUGGAAGCGGAACUGCCCCAAAUACUUAGCAGACAAGAAGGCCGGCAACACUAAAGGUAUAUUUGAUAUACAUGUAAUUGAUGUGUACCUUACCAGUACUCGUAGUAACUCCUGGGUAUUUGAUACCGGUGCCGUUGCUCACAUUUGUAACUCACAGCAGGAGCUGCAGAAUAAAAGGAGACUGGCAAAGGACGAGGUGACGAUGCGCGUCGGGAAUGGUUCCAAGAUUGAUGUGAUCGCCGUCGGCACGCUACCUCUACAUUUACCUACGGGGUUAGUUUUAAACCUCAAUAAUUGUUAUUUAGUGCCAAGUUUGAGCAUGAACAUUGUAUCUGGAUCUCGUUUGAUGCGAGAUGGCUACUCAUUUAAAUCCGAGAAUAAUGGUUGUUCUAUUUAUAUGAGAGAUAUGUUUUAUGGUCAUGCCCCGAUGGUCAAUGGUUUAUUCUUAAUGAAUCUCGAACGUAAUACUACACAUAUUCAUAGUGUGAAUACCAAAAGAUGUAAAGUUGAUAACGAUAGUCCCACAUAUUUGUGGCACUGCCGCCUUGGUCACAUUGGUGUCAAGCGCAUGAAGAAGCUCCAUGCUGAUGGACUUUUAGAGUCUCUCGAUUAUGAAUCAUUUGACACAUGCGAACCAUGCCUCAUGGGCAAGAUGACCAAGACUCCGUUCUCCGGAACAAUGGAGCGAGCAACCAACUUGUUGGGAAUCCUACAUACCGAUGUGUGUGGUCUAAUGAGUGUUGAGGCUCGCGGAGGAUAUCAUUAUGUUCUCACUCUCACAGAUGACUUGAGUAGAUAUGGGUAUGUCUACUUGAUGAAACACAAGUCUGAGACCUUUGAAAAGUUCAAGGAAUUUCAGAAUGAAGUAGAGAAUCAACGUGACCGAAAGAUAAAAUUCUUACGAUUGGAUCGUGGAGGAGAAUAUUUAAGUCACGAAUUUGGUACACACUUAAGAAAAUAUGGAAUCGUUUCACAACUCACGCCGCCUGGAACACCUCAGUGUAACGGUGUGUCCGAACAUCGUAAUCACACUCUAUUGGAUAUGGUGCGAUCUAUGAUGUCUCUUACCGAUUUACCGCUAUCAUUUUGGGGAUACGCUCUAGAGACAGCUACAUUCACUUUAAAUAGGGCACCGUCUAAAUCCGUUGAGACGACACCGUAUGAAUUAUGGUUUGGGAAGAAACCUAAGCUGUCGUUUCUAAAAGUUUGGGGAUGCGAUGCUUAUGUCAAGAAACUUCAACCUGAAAAGCUCAAACCCAAGUCGGAAAAUGUGUCUUCAUAGGAUACCCUAAAGAAACCAUUGGGUAUACCUUCUACUUAAGAUCCAAGGGCAAGAUCUUUGUUGCCAAGAACGGAUCCUUUCUAGAAAAAGAGUUUCUCUCGAAAGAAGUAAGUGGGAGGAAAGUAGAACUCGAUGAAGUACUACCUCUUGAACAAGAUAGUAGUGCAGCUCAGGAAAAUGUUCCUGUGAUGCCUACUCCAACUGGAGAGGAAAUUAAUGAUGAUGAUCAAGGUACUUCUGAUCAAGUUGCUACUGAACUUCGUAGGUCCACAAGGACACGUUCCGCACCAGAGUGGUACAGCAACCCUGUCCUGGAAAUCAUGUUGUUAGACAACGGUGAACCUUCGAACUAUGAAGAAGCGAUGGCGGGCCCAGAUUCCAACAAAUGGCUUGAAGCCAUGAAAUCCGAGAUAGAAUCCAUGUAUGAAAACAAAGUAUGGACUUUGACUGACUUGCCCGAUGAUCGGCGAGCGAUAGAAAACAAAUGGAUCUUUAAGAAGAAGACGGACGCGGAUGGUAAUGUCACCAUCUAUAAAGCUCGACUUGUCGCUAAGGGUUAUCGGCAAGUUCAAGGGAUUGACUACGAUGAGACUUUCUCUCCCGUAGCAAAGCUUAAGUCCGUCCGAAUCAUGUUAGCAAUUGCCGCAUACUAUGAUUAUGAGAUAUGGCAGAUGGACGUCAAAACGGCAUUCCUUAAUGGGCAUCUUAAGGAAGAACUGUAUAUGAUGCAGCCGGAGGGUUUUGUCGAUCCUAAGAAUGCUAACAAAGUAUGCAAGCUCCAGCGAUCCAUUUAUGGGCUGGUGCAAGCAUCUCGGAGUUGGAACAUUCGCUUUGAUGAGAUGAUCAAAGCGUUUGGGUUUAUGCAGACUUACGGAGAAGCCUGCGUUUACAAGAAAGUGAGUGGGAGCUCUGUAGCAUUUCUCAUAUUAUAUGUAGAUGACAUACUCUUGAUGGGAAAUGAUAUAGAAUUCCUGUACAGCAUUAAGGCCUACUUGAAUAAGUGUUUUUCAAUGAAGGACCUUGGAGAAGCUGCUUAUAUAUUAGGCAUCAAGAUCUAUAGAGAUAGAUCGAGACGCCUCAUAGGUCUUUCACAAAGCACAUACCUUGAUAAGAUUUUGAAGAAGUUCAAAAUGGACGAGUCUAAGAAGGGGUUCUUUCCUGUAUUGCAAGGUGUGAGAUUGAGCUCGGCUCAAUGCCCGACCACGGCAAAAGAUAGAGAAGAGAUGAGCGUCAUCCCCUAUGCCUCAGCCAUAGGAUCUAUUAUGUAUGCCAUGCUGUGUACUAGACCUGAUGUAAACCUUGCCGUAAGUUUGGUAGGAAGGUACCAAAGUAAUCCCGGCAAGGAACACUGGACAACGGUCAAGAAUAUCCUGAAGUACCUGAAAAGGACAAAGGGCAUGUUUCUCAUUUAUGGAGGUGACGAAGAUCUCGCCGUAAAGGGUUACGUCGACGCAAGCUUCGACACAGAUCUGGAUGACUCUAAGUCACAAACCGGAUACGUGUAUAUGUUGAAUGGUGGAGCAGUAAGCUAGUGCAGCUGCAAGCAGAGCGUCGUGGCGGGAUCUACAUGUGAAGCGGAGUACAUGGCAGCCUCGGAGGCAGCGCAUGAAGCUAUUUGGGUGAAGGAGUUCAUCACCGACCUAGGAGUCAUACCCAAUGCGUCGGGGCCGAUCAAACUCUUCUGUGACAACACUGGAGCUAUUGCCCUUGCUAAGGAGCCCAGGUUUCCCAAGAAGACCAGGCACAUCAAGCGUCGUUUCAACUCCAUCCAUGAAAAUGUUCAAGAUGGAGACAAAGAUAUUUGCAAAGUACAUACGGAUCUGAAUGUCUCAGAUCCGUUGACUAAACCUCUCUCGCGAGCAAAACAUGAUCAACACCAGAAUUCUAUGGGUGUUCGAUUCAUCACAAUGUAACUAGAUUAUUGACUCUAGUGCAAGUGGGAGACUGUUGGAAAUAUGCCCUAGAGGCAAUAAUAAAAGCAUUAUUAUUAUAUUUCCUUGUUCAUGAUAAUUGUCUUUUAUUCAUGCUAUAACUGUAUUAUCCGGAAAUCGUAAUACACGUGUGAAUACAUAGACCAUAACAUGUCCCUAGUGAGCCUCUAGUUGACUAGCUCGUUGGUCAACAGAUAGUCAAGGUUUCCUGACUAUGGACAUUAGAUGUCAUUGACAACGGGAUCACAUCAUUAGGAGAAUGAUGUGAUGGACAAGACCCAAUCCUAAGCAUAGCACAAGAUCGUGUAGUUCGUUUUGCUAGAGCUUUUUCAAUGUCAAGUAUCUCUUCCUUAGACCAUGAGAUCGUGUAACUCCCGGAUACCGUAGGAGUGCUUUGGGUGUACCAAACGUCACAACGUAACUGGGUGACUAUAAAGGUGCACUACAGGUAUCUCCGAAAGUGUCUGUUGGGUUGACACGGAUCGAGACUUUAUUUGUCACUCCGUAUGACGGAGAGGUAUCUCUGGGCCCACUCGGUAAUGCAUCAUCAUAAUGAGCUCAAAGUGAUCAAGUGUUUGGUCACGGGAUCAUGCGUUACGGUACGAGUAAAGUGACUUGCCGGUAACGAGACUGAACGAGGUAUUGGGAUACCGACAAUCGAGUCUCGGGCUUGUAACGUACCGAUUGACAAAGGGAAUACUAUACGGGGUUGCUUGAAUCCUCGACAUUGUGGUUCAUCCGAUGACAUCAUCAAGGAGCAUGUGGGAGCCAACAUGGGUAUCCAGAUCCCGCUGUUGGUUAUUGAUCUGAGAGCCGUCUCGGUCAUGUCUGCGUGUCUCCCGAACCCGUAGGGUCUACACACUUAAGGUUCGGUGACGCUAGGGUUAUUACGAAGACUUGUAUGUGAUUACCGAAUGUUGCUCAGAGUCCCGGAUGAGAUCCCGGACGUCACGGGGAGUUCCGGAAUGGUCCGGAGGUAAAGAUUUAUAUAUGGGAAGCUGUCAUACGGACACCGGAAGGUUUCGGGGGCAUAUCGAUAUUGUACCGGGGCCACCGGAAGGGUUCCGGGGGUCCACCGGGAGGGGCCACCCCUCCCGGGGGGCCACAUGGGCUGCGUGGGGCAGGAGCCAGACCCUGGAUGGCUGGGCGCCCCCCCCCCCCCUUGGGACCAUGCGCCUAGGGUUGGGGGGGAACCCUAGAGGGGGCGCUUCCCUUGCUUGGGGGGCAAGUUCCCCCUCCCUGGCCGCCGCCCCCCCUCUAGAUCCCAUCUAGAGGGGCCGGCCCCCCUUGCCCCUUCCCCUAUAAAUAGAGGGGUGAGGGGAGGGCUGCAUACACAAGCCAAGGCGCAGCCCCUCCCCUCCCCAACACCUCUCCUCCUCCGUACGUGCUUGGCGAAGCCCUGUCGGAGUACUGCUACACCAACAACACCACGCCGUCGUGCUGCCGUUGGAGCUGUCUUCCUCAACCUCUCCUUCCCCCUUGCUGGAUCAAGAAGGAGGAGACGUCAUCCGCUCCGUACGUGUGUUGAACGUGGAGGUGCCGUCCGUUCGGCGCUAGGAUCUCCGGUGAUAGGAUCACGACGAGAACGACUACUUCAACCCCAUUCUUUUGAACGCUUCCGCUCGCGAUCUACAAAGUGGUAUGUAGAUGCAUCUCCCAUGACUCGUUGCUUAGAUGAACUCAUAGAUGGAUCUUGGUGAAACCGUAGGAAAAAUUUAAUUUUCUGCAACGUUCCCCAACAUCUUCCUCCUCUUUCCACCCUUCUCCUAUUCCAACUAGGAAAGAAGGGAGUCCUACUCCCGGUGGGAGUAGGACUCCCCCCUUGGCGCACCCUCCUUGGCCGGCCGCCUCCUCCCCCCUGGCUCCUUUAUAUACGGGGGCGGGGGGCACCCCAUAGACACACAAGUUGAUCUACGGAUCGUUCCUUAGCCGUGUGCGUGCCCCCUCCACCAUAUUCCACCUCGGUCAUAUCGUCACGGAGUUUAGGCGAAGCCCUGCGCCGGUAGAGCAUCAUCAUCGUCACCACGCCGUCGUGCUGACGGAGCUCAUCCCCGAAGCUUUGCUGGAUCGGAGCCCGGGGAUCGUCAUCGAGCUGAACGUGUGCUGAACUCGGAGGUGCCAUACGUUCGGUACUUGGAUCGGUCGGAUCGUGAAGACGUACGACUACAUCAACUGCGUUGUCAUAACGCUUCCGCUUACGGUCUACGAGGGUACGUGGACAACACUCUCUCCUCUCCUUGCUAUGCCAUCACCAUGAUCUUGCGUGUACGUAGGAAUUUUUUUGAAAUUACUACGUUCCGCAACACAUCACUCAUUGUCCCAAACUGCAGAGGCUGCCUGACAGUUUUAUGAACAUGCUGAUGGGUGAAGGUCCGCCAAAUAAUGUGAAGAUGCGACAGGCUGGCAGCGGGUUUCACAGGCAGUGGGAUGUGGAGUUGGUGAUCAAGGAGGGCCACAUGUACUUGUCUCGUGGGUGGGAGAAGUUCUACCGUGCCUACGACCUGCGGCUGGGGUACUUCCUUCUCUUUAGGUAUGACGACGACGCCACCAUGCUCAUCGUGAAGGUGUUCAACACGACUAUGUGUCACAUGCGCUACGCUGACGAUGAUGAUGCCGGUACGUUCUGCCUCUUCUUAUUCCUCUACAUUUGGCUUUGUCUCACAUCGAUUGUUAACGGUCAUUGUUGCAUUUUGGACAGGUAAUGGGAGCAGCAGCAGCGACACUGGCUACAGCCAAAGCAGCAGCGACUAUGGCUGUAGCGAAAGCAGCAACGAUUCUGGCUGUAGAGAAAGCAGCAGUGAUUUUGGCAGCAGCAUAGACAACAAGAAGGAUGAUCCGGACUGGAGUGCGGGAGAAGAGGAGCAGAGUGGGGAUGAGGAGCUGCAGGAUGACGAUGGGCAUCAGGCUGAGGAUGACCUAGCGCUGAUGGUGGCUGACCAAGGGCAAGAGAUGGUGGUGGCUGACCAUGGGCAAGAGAUGGAGGUGGCUGAGGAUGACCUAGCGAUGGUCGUGCCUGAAGGUGGCCUCGCGAUGGUGGUGGUGCCUGACAAUGACCACGCACCGGUGGUGGCGCUGGCGAUCCCAGGCGACAUGACCACACCAAUUGUGGUAGAAGACUACAUCCCACUGCCUCCACCGCCUCGCCGCUCUUGGCGCAUCAGGCUGAGGAAGGAGAAGCAGAAGAACAAUGCAUGAGAACUGAACUUUGUCAGGUAUGUCAGAUCUCCAAAAUGAUAUAUAUAUACUUAGUUACCUAUGUUAUCUUUAAUAUGCUUAGUUUCCUAUAGGUUAGCUUCAUUUUACCUAAGUUGGCUCUAAUAUGCAAACUUAGAGCUUAUAUGCUUAGUUUCCUAUAGGUUAGCUCCAAAAUAACUUAUGUUAGCACAAAAUGAUCAAGUUUACAUAAUAAGCUUAUAGUCUUUUUCUUAUUCUUCUUCUUACCCAAAAUGACAUAGGUUAGCUUCAUUUUACCUAAGUUGGCUCUAAUAUACAAACUUAGAGCUUAUAUGCUUAGUUUACUAUAGGUUAGCUCCAAAAUAACUUAUGUUAGCACAAAAUGAUCAAGUUUACAUAAUAAGCUUAUAGUCUUUUUCUUAUUCUUCUUCUUUUUUAAAAUGUCAUAGGUUAGCUUCAUUUUACCUAAGUUGGCUCUAAUAUACAAACUUAGAGCUUAUAUGCUUAGUUUCCUAUAGGUUAGCUCCAAAAUAACUUAUGUUAGCACAAAAUGAUCAAGUUUACAUAAUAAGUUUAUAGUCUUCUUCUUAUUCUUCUUUUUUUCCAAAAUUCUUCUUAUUCUUCUUCUAGUGUUCUUCUUCUUAUAGUAUUCUUCUAGUCUUCUUCUUUUUCUUCUUCUAACUUCUUGUUUAUAAUUUUGCAGAUUUGAUUUAAUUCACGGAAUCUUGCAUGGAUGGAGUGCUUCUUUUCCAUUUGUGUUUUUAUUUUGUAUCAAUGUGAAACUUUUGUGAAUUGAUGGAUAACGGUGUUGGAUGAACAAUGUGAAACUUUUGUAAUAUGUAACGAUGGAACUAUGUGUUGGCUAUGGAUGUAUAUAUGAUGCAACUUGUGUGUUGGCUAUGUAUGUAUAUAUGAUGGAACUUAUGUGUUGGCUAUGAUUGUUAUAUGGAUGCUUGUUGUAUAUAUAUGUGUUGGAUAUCUCAUAGGUGAAAUAGUGAUCUGAGAUUAAGAAAAAUAAAAUAAAAAAAUUGUUACUAAUGGCGCACUAUCAUGUGGUGCGCUAUUAGUAUAGAAUACACUAGUGGCGCACUGUGGGCAAAAUUAAUGGUGCACUGCAUGGUGCGCCAUUAGUAUACCAGAUACUAAUGGCGCACCAGUGGUGCGCCAUUAGUAAAAAAUACUAGUGGCGUGAUACUAAUGGCGCACUGGUAAUGCCCAUUAGUAGGCAAAACCAGUGCGCCAUUAAUAGGCCUUUUCCUAGUAGUGAGGAUAGCAGCGUACCAAUAGAGAGCUUCAGAAUUGAUGUUCGAGACAACUUCAGCGCAGUCUGAAGCGAUGAAAAUGGAAUGAACGUGGAGGUCAGUUGCGAGAGCCACCAUUUCGUUACACGCUUAGGCUUUGAGGGUGGACGAGGCCACUGAAAACCACCGUCGACGCACCAAGAAACUUUGCAUUUUUGCAAAGAAAAAUCAACUAUUAUAUGUUUAUUCUAGCAUAUUAUAACAAAGCACAAUUCAUGUGUAUAUUAUGUGCAAAUUUGGUCAUUAUUUUGUUUUACUUUUUAUUUUAUUUCGUGGGUAAUACCAAUGCCACUAAUUCAGUCUUACUUAAAUAACUCAAUUAUUAUUUUAAAGUUGUAUUUUUUUAAAUUUUGUUUCUUGUGAAAGGGCAGUUCCAAUGCCACCAAUUUAUUCUUUCUUAGAAAACUUCAUUAUUUUUAUUUUAUUUUAUUUUUAUUUAUUUCUUCUGAAAAGGUAAAGUGAAUUCCACUAAUUCAUUUUUAAUUAGAAAAGUUCAUUAUUUUGAUUUUAUUUUAGUUUUUUUUUCUUUAAGGAUAAUAUUAAUGCCACGCAUGGCACCCGAAAGGAAUGGAAUAAGUUGCCUUUGCAAGGGAAUGAGCUUCCCUAUUAUAUUCCCGCUUCUCAUGCAUGAACUUGAGAGCUUGAAACGAUCCACACACGACAAUGGUUAAUUUCCCGAAGGAUAGCAGCGUACUGGUAGAGAGCUUCAGAAUUGAUGUUUGAGACAACUUCAGCGCAGGCUGAAGGAAUGAAAAUGGAAUGAACGUGGAGGUCAGUUGCGAGAGCCACCAUUUCGUUACACGCUUAGGCUUUUAGGGUCGACGAGGCUACCAAAAACCGCCGCCGAUGCACAAAGAAGCUUUGCUUUUUUGAAAAAAAAAUCAAUUAUUUUAUGUUUAUUCUAGCAUAUUAUAACAAAGCGCAAUUCAUGUGUUUUAUGCACUGAAAAAAAAUAGCGCGCUAUAGCGUAUUGAGAAUUGUCUCGCUAAAUAUAUUAGUGUAUACUGUCUCGCUAAUAGCACGCUAUAACACUAUAUAGCAUGCUAAUAGCAUAUUUUAAAGUCAGCGCUAUUUUGCUGUAGCACGCUAUUUUUUUCAUUGGUUUUAUGUGCAAAAUUUGUCAUUAUUUUGUUUUACUUUUUAUUUCAUUUUGUGGGUAAUACCAAUGCCACUAAUUUAGUCUUACUUAAAUAACUUGAUUAUUUUUAAAAAAUAUUUUAAAUUUUGUUUCUUAUGAAAGGGUAGUUCCAAUGCGAGCGAUUUAUUCUUUCUUAGAAAACUUAAUUAUUUUAAUUUUAUUUUAGUUUUUUUAUUUAUUCCUUCUGAAACGGUCAUGUGAAUUCCUCUAAUUCAUUCUUUCUUAGAAAAGUCAUUAUUUCGAUUUGUUUUAGUUUUUUAUCUUUCUUCUUUAAGGAUAAUACCAAUGCUACUAAUUCAUUCUUGCUUAGAAUACUUAUUUUUGCAAAAAGUUCACUAUUAUAUGCUUAUUCUUACAUAUUAUAAACAUAUUGAUUGGCCAAAAUUGUUUUUUCAGUUUGCAUCGGUUUUGGUUAAUUGCUCCAGCUCUUUUUUGGGAUGUUAAUUGCUCGAACUAGGAUGGGAAAGCAGCAAGUUUCUGGUGGGGCGGUUGUUACAGGUUUCCUUCUUCCUUUCACCCUUCCGGAAAUGGGCCUCGAUAGUGUUGCACAUGGCCAUCAGUAGUGUUCUCACAAAAUUUCUCAUUUUCAGCCUAUGUACGUUUUCUUUUCUUUUUUAGACUGGUUAUAGUAAAUCAACCCCUGACACUAGAGAGAGAUAUCAAAGGAAAAACAUACAGGAGGGCUCCCCAACGGUCCUCUCGUUCCCAAGCUCCCCCGGCCUCCAACAUCCCAAUCGGCGGCCGACGCGCCGGCCCCCACCAGCCUCACCCGUGGGUUGACCGCUCCGGUCUCCGACGGCCAGAUAACGCCCCCAUUCGGUCUGCUUCUUUUCGUGAUGUCGUCGUUUCCGGCUCGUCUUCACACGCGCCCCUGCCGGGCCGGUCCCGCGCUACUUCUGUUGAUCUGGAACCGGACAGCGACGACUAGAUUCAAGUGAGGAAUCGUCGUCACCCGCUCCGUUAUGUGGCUGCGUCCCCGGCCGUGAGCCGGCCAGCUGGCCCCAAGCCUCAGAUUCCUCGGUGGUUGUUUGGAAGGUGUUUUAAGUGCUUGGAGACGGGCCACCAUAAAUCUGAAUGCUCCGGUGUGAUUAGAUGCCACCGCUGUUGGCUAACGGGUCACAUAGCUAGAAGCUGCCGCUCCUCUCCAGAUUCGUCACACCCUCCCCCUCCGCCUCCCAGAUCUGAGCCUGGCCUCUCUGCUCGCACCUCCGCUGGCCGGUCUUCGCAAGAGGGCUCCCUCCGUCGCCCGCCGCCGCCUUGUGACUUGGCCAACUACCCUCUCCUAGCUCAGUCCCGCUUCCCUGGCGGAAUAUACAUCCAUGGGGAUCCAGUUCUGCGGCCUGAGCGGAGUGGAGGUAUCAUCUCCCGCACCUCCAGGAUGGAUGAGCUCGAGGCGGAUUUCAGUAAUCGCGCCUUGCUAGCCACUGUGCAGGGCACAAGACCGGCCAUGUCUGCGGAAGCCAUGGUCCAAUCCCUGGCUUGGCUCUAUGGGGUCGAGAGGCGACAAGUCCGGGUGGAGGUGACACACCCGGCAGAUUUCUUCAUCACAUUCGCCUCCAUUGCGGAUUGUGAGAGGGUGCUCGCCAGCUCCGGGAAGUUUCGCUGUGCUGGAGCUUCCGUCGCUUUUCGGCGCUGGCAUAGAAGUUCCCAGGCGAGCAGCGGGAAACUUUGCUUCUUCUGCAAGAUUGGAUUUGAGGGCAUGCCAGCGAACGCCUGGGAGUGGGGUGCUGUCAGUCAGCUCAUCAACAAUUUGGGUGGCCAGCUGGUGGAAAUCCUCCCCCCUAACGAUCGUUGGGAUAUGGACGUCACCGCCUGGAUGCGCAAUCCAUCAGGCAUCCCCAAGAUGUACGAUUUCGAGGUUCCAGAGCCGGCGGGGCUGCCGAACUCCUUCGACAAGGACUUUCCGCUUUCCUCGCCACCACCAGCGUCGCCGAUAGAGAGGCUCACUCUUGUCCACCCGCUCACUAUCCAUGUCCUGGACGUGGUGGAUCGCUCAAUGUCGUUCAUGGAGUUCCGCCCAAACUAUGAACCAGAAGAGGAUGAAGAUCACACCAGGCGACACGACUUCUCGCGCUUCUGCUUCAGGGGGCGAGUUGAUGGCACUGGGAUGGGCUCGACUCCCUGUUCGGGCGGGCAUCCUUUCGGUGGCCCUGGUGGUCUUGGGAUUGCUGGAGAUUGGGGCGGACGCAGGGUCAAGGGGCUGCUGGCGCCCGCUGGUGGUUUUUCUGCCCCGUUUGUGCAGUCCAGACCAACGGAUGCCCAUGCCAUGCAUGGCGCGCCAGCUCGGCGGGUCGCUCUGGGCACGACGGCCUCAUGCUCUGCUUUGCUUGGUGGCUCCCCCUCUCCUGGCUCGCUGGCAACUACGGUCGUGGGUUCUGCGAACGGUGUGCUCACGCCGGCUUUGCAGGGGCCUCUCGGCGACGCAUCUUUGGCUAUGGUCUUGGCGGCUCACGCGCCCACGGUGGAUGUGACGCAUCAACACGGUGGUGGUUCUUCUUCAGUGGGCGGUGCACAUGGACACUCUAGUUGUGCCUCUACGGCAGUGGGCUCGGCGGCCUGUGUUGCCACGCCAGGCUUGCCAUGGUCGGUGGCCUCUACGGCUGUGGGCUCGGCAGCUUGUGUCGUGACGCCUCCAUCAGGACGAGUCACGCUCCGCCAAAUGACGUCGCCGCGCCGGCUUUCCUUCGCAUCGGAGGCGUGUACACAGUGCGUGGGGGUAGACGGCAAUCUAGUGUGCGCGCCCUCUCAUGGCACGCCUCCACGCCUGCACCUGGCAUGCCCAGCACUGUGCGGAACACCGAAAGUAGUGCCUUCCUCAGCUGCUGGUGCUAUGGAGACGCUGAAAGCUGUGCCGGAUGAUGAGAACCUACAUCUCAAGGCUCUGAAGUUGCCGAGCCAGUGUGGGCAGUCAAGGUCCUCUAGCUCGAGCCCGGUGCGCACGCCUUUUGCAACCCCAUUGAGCCCGAGCAAGCUGCUUCCACCCCUGGCACCCAAGGCAAAUCUGGACACGGUGCUUGGUCCAAAGACGGCUGCUGACACGCUGCUUGAGGGGAUCGGUGCCACCCCCAUGCCAUCUAUCAUGGGGCCGAGGCCAGCUGCAUCGGCUCCGGUGAGACGCAAGAAGACUCUACCAUCGGAUUUUACCCCUCGCCGGAGUGCACGUCUAAAUAAAAAUUGUGAUGGCGCGAACAAGGGGCCAUACCACCGCGCUCAAACUGUGCUGCUUCGUCGCAUGGGUCUAAUGGAGGCUGAAGAACAGGUGACGCAGAAAGCAAUGGACGAAUACUUGAAGCUCUUCGACAAGCCGCUGGCUCCGCACCACAUCAAGGCGAUUACUGCUCUCUUCGCCCCAGAUGAAGUGGACUUUGAUGAACCUUCUCAUGAGGGCUUCAGUGCUUUCUUCCUCCCUGCGGCUGUGGAGCCUUGUGGUGUGUAGUGUCCUGUACUGCUCUUGUUGUUCUUCAGAGGUAGUAUCAUGGCGAUGUCAGAGUGUUUGUUAGUUUGGAAUGUUAGGGGGCUCAAUAACCCAGCUAGGCGCAGUUCCAUCCGUUUGUUCCUACAAUCCUAUAACAUUUCACUUGCUUGUGUUCUAGAAUCUAAGUUGGCUGUGGUGGAUGCGGUGCUUGUGGGGCAAACUUUUGGCCCGGCUUUCGAUUGCUUUGACUUUCUACCAGCAACGGGUACCAGAGGGGGCAUUCUGAUCGCUUGGAGGUCGGAUAGAUUGAGUGUGUCUACGGUGUGUAAGAAGGAAUUCUCUAUCACCAUCAAAGUCACUUCUUUGGUGGAUGGAAGGGAGUGGAUGGCUACUUCUGUUUAUGGGCCACAGGAAAAUGAGGACAAAGUCAGAUUCCUGGUGGAGAUUGUGGAAAUUGGGGGGCAUGUUCAACUGCCAUGGAUCCUGAAUGGUGACUUCAAUCUGGUGUGUAAUGAAGAUGAGCGAAGUACGAGAAGAAUCAACAGAAGACAUACGAUCAACACCUUGGGCCUGCAUGACAUGCCGCUGGUGGGGAGGAAAUUCACCUGGUGUAAUGAUCAGGAGCACUCAGUAAUGGCAAGAUUGGAUAGGGUGUUGUUCAAUAGUGACCGGGAAGACACUUACCCCAUCAGUGACUUGAUACCGCUCAGUUCCAACAUAUCGGAUCAUUGCCCCCUUCUCCUGACCUGCUCUGGGGAUAUGCCAAGAUAGCGUCGCUUUCGUUUCGAGAAUUUUUGGGUUAAGUUGCCGGGUUUUAUGGAAACGGUGAAGGCGGCCUGGGAGGAACAAGUCUCUAGUAAUGACCCCAUGAAGAUUUUCAGUGUGAAACUGCAGCGCACCGCGAAGGCUCUCAGAAGUUGGGGUCAAAGGAAACAGAGCCAUAUGACCACCCUUUUUCAGAUUGCAAAUGAGCUGAUUUUGCGUUUAGAUGGCGCACGGGAAAAUAGAUCUUUGUCAGAAGAGGAACGCAAGCUAAAGGCUUUUUUGAAGGGAAAGUGCCUGGCACUCGCUUCCCUGGAGAGGGUGCGUCUCCGACAGCAUGCCAGAGUGAGAGACCUUCAGGAGGGGGAUGCUAAUUCCAAGUACUUCCACUUGAAAGCUAAUGGACGGCGUCGAAAGCGUCAAAUUCCUUUCUUCAAGGAUGGCGAUCGCAUGGUCUCAGCCAUGGAGGAUAAAAUGAAUCUAGCAUGGAGUUUUUACUGUGGUCUUAUGGGCACGCCGGCGCCUACUACAUCUUCCUUGAGGCUAGAUGAUUUGAAUCUGCAUAGUUUAUCCCCGGAGCUGGCUUCUGGUCUAGAAGUGGAGUUCACUGACACCGAGGUCAUGCAGGUGAUUAUGGAGAUGCCUUCUGACCGGGCUCCUGGGCCUGACGGUUUCUCCGGCCUAUUCUAUAAGGCUUGCUGGGAGGUUAUUAGGGAAGAUUUGAUGGCUAUCAUGCAUGAUCUGCACAGGGGCAAAUUCUUCUCCUUUGGCCGGUUAAACUCAUCAAUUAUUUCAUUGCUGCCUAAGAUAGACAGAUCCUUGGAAGUGGCAGAUUUCCGACCGAUAAACCUAAUUCAUGGUGCUGCUAAAUUUUUUGCCAAGGUCCUGGCUGUUCGCCUUGCUCCGUUGCUACCUGGGCUGAUCUCGCAAGUUCAGAGUGCUUUUGUCAGCAGGAGAAGUAUCCACGAGAACUUCAAAUUUAUGCACAAUACCGCACGGCUGCUGCAUCAUAGGAAAGUCCCGGCUGUGCUUAUGAAGAUUGACAUCUCCAAAGCCUUUGAUACUUUGUCCUGGGAAUUCAUUCUCAAAUUGUUGAUUCGGAGAGGUUUUGGACGAAGAUGGUGCUCUUGGAUCUGUGGCCUCAUGUGCACUGCCUCAUCCUCGGUGAUGGUCAAUGGUGAGACUAGUGAUCCCUUUGCGUUGGCUAGUGGUGUAAGACAAGGCGAUCCACUGUCACCGGUGCUCUUCAUCCUGGCUAUGGACACGCUUCAGGCUAUGAUUCAUUGGGCUACCAGGCACAAUCUACUCCCGGACAUGGGGCUUGGGAGCAAUGUGCCAAGGGCUUCUUUCUUCGCGGAUGACGCGAUCCUUUUCUUCAGACCUACGCCAAGCGAUAUGCAGGUCAUUUCUGCUGCUCUGAAGCUGUUUGGUGAAGCCACUGGACUUCGUAUCAAACUACAAAAGAGCACCAUUACUUGCAUCAGGAAAAGUGACACCAUAUCAGCGGGGGUGGCACAUCAUUUUUCCUGCCAGCUGAAGCAAUUUCCCAUUCAAUAUUUGGGGCUCCCUCUAUCAAUUUUCAGAUUACAACGCCAACAUAUACUGCCCCUCAUCGACAAAUACUCCAGCAGGAUGAAAGGAUGGAAGCCAAGGAUGCUUGCGCCUGCGGGACGGUUGGCACUUACGCAAUCUGUGUUGAUGGCAUUGCCCUUGCAUUUUCUUUCAGUGCUGCCACUGCCGGCAUGGGCUUUGGAAAUCAUCAACAUGAGGUGUAGGGGCUUCAUUUGGAAAGGGGAAAAUGAGAUCAAUGGAGGUCAUUGUCUUCUGCCUUGGGCGAGAGUGUGUAUGCCGAAGGAGUGUGGUGGCCUGGGCAUCUUGAACUUGAAGUGGUUCGGCUCGGCUUUGCAUUACCGAUGACCCUGGCUGCUCUGGGACCCUGAGGAGAGACCAUGGCAGAUGUUGCAGGACGAUCAGGAGGGUGAUGUCACGGCUAUCUUCAGUGCGGCCACGUCCGUCUGCUUGGGGGAUGGAGAGCGGGCCAUGUUCUGGACGGACAAUCGGUUACCGGAGGGCGGCUCCAUUGUGACCAUGGCCCCGACCCUCUUUUCUUUUGUCAAGAAGCCGGGCCGCACUGUACGGGAUGCCCUUCAGAAUCGUAGCUGGGUCCGAGACAUCUCAGGAGGAGUUUCAGUCGUAGCCAUUGCACAAUAUCUCACUAUUUGGGAUAUUACUCAGAAUAUCUCGUUGACGCCUGGUGUGCCGGAUCGUCUACAAUGGAAGCUGACUGAGGAUCAUCUCUUCUCUGUUAAGAGUGCUUACAACAUGUUCUUUGUUGCCUCGGUGCGCUUCGCAUGCUACAAACUAAUUUGGAAAUCCAAAGCUCCUCCAAGAUGCAAGUUUUUCAUGUGGCUAGUGGUUCAUCGCCGGUGCCUGACUGUGGACAACUUGGAGCGGAGGGGCUGGCCCUCAAACGGCAACUGCCCUCUGUGCCUUGUGACGCUGGAGGACUGCACUCACCUGUUCGUGCACUGCAGGUUCACACAACAGGUUUGGCUACUGUUCAGAGAUUGGACACGGGCGAAUUUUCAGGUGCCGGAUGAUCAUUUCAUCAAUACGGAAGACUGGUGGCUGCAAGCACGUAAGUUAGUUCCCAAGCCUAUGCGUCGGAACUUUGACACAAUCUCCAUCUUGAUUCACUGGAGGAUUUGGAAGGAAAGAAAUUCUAGAAUUUUUGAGCAGGAAGCGACUAGUCCCUUCAGUGUUUUGGAUCGGAUCAUAGAAGAUAUUGGGAUAUGGAGGGCGGCCGGUUGUGUCACUGACACCGGCAACCUUUCUUGAGUUGCUGGUUUGCCCCCUUUUAGUUGUUUUGACGGCUGUUGCCGUCCUUUUGUAUUUUCGGAACGUUUCAGUUCUGUGGGUUCCUAGUUCUAGUUCGCCUAGACUGCUAACCUUUGUUGUACUGCUUCUCCUUCUUCCUAAUAAUAUUCGGCCUAUGGCCCUUCGACAAAGGAAAAACCUCUCUAUUCAUUGCAAUAUAUCAAAUCUCCCAUCGUCUUGGCACUUUGUUCUUUUGAAAUAUGAGCGAUCAUUUGAUUCCGUUGGUUAGGAUUAACUUGAAAAUUCGCUAUGUAUGCGGUCAAAAUGGUUCAUUCCCUUCUCUAAAUAAGGUUUACUUGCGGAAGAGUUAGGAAAAGCUUUGGUGUUGCAAAAUUUAAAUGAUCAUAGUCAUUACUUUAGGGAUCUAAACGGUUUUAUAUUUCUUUACAGAGGGAGUAGUAUAUAUAACACCAAUGACUAUAUGUUUCCUGUAAAUGUCCAUAUAAUUAAAAGUUAUAGUUUAACUAUCCUACUUUCUUCUUUACAUGCACUUUCUUUAGGGGAAUUCUUUACAUGCACUUGUGCAUCUUUGGUGUACCGCCUUAAGCACCAAACAACAACCACAAGAAGCCAUGAGCACCGUGGAGCGAUGGUAGGCCAGAACAAUCAACGCUAGUCCAGAGAACAGAAAUACGUGUGCGUGCGCUGUUAGCGUAAUCUUGAUUAUAGCUUAAUUAAUUAGUUAGUGCUAGUUAGGUGCAAGUUUGCUGGCUGCCAUGUAGACGCGUAGUAGUAGUGCUGCUUGGCUUGCAUGUUGUGGCUACGUGAAUCUUGUACUAGCUAGUAGAGUCCGGCUAGGAUUAGUACGUGAAUCAUGUAGCAGUAGUUUAAGUCAGAUUCAAAGUCCAAGUAGGUAUCCGAGUAGGAUUAGGAAAAGUUGGACGUGAGGGCUUGGCUGAACGUGUAUAUGUAUACACGGGCAGACCAUGAUUAUAGUAACACCGUGGCGAGAAAACAGGAAAUAAAGAGAAUCAAAGGGCACGAUAACAGUCCUUGGCUAUCAGUUUUCGUGUGCGUGUGUUCGUCCUGAUUUGAUGUGAUCGAUCCGUGGACGGAGUCCCAACAAUUGGUAUCAGAGCAAGGUUCAGGAGUCGAGCGCUUGCCCCGGGGUUGCGACCCGACUAGUGCCUCGGGGCGGGCGAUAUGGUCGCUGGAUGGUGCAGCGACGAGGAGCUGGCCAUGAAGUUGCUGGGUGGUGCAGCGAUGAGGAGGAUCUGGCGAUCGUCGUCCGGCGGAGCGACAUGGAGGGAGACGGCGGGCUGUCGUCGGGAAGGCGGUGGAUGAAGAUCGUUGAUGGGUCAGGUGUUUGCCUUUCGGCCAUAUUAUAAUUGACAUUAUUCAACAUGCCUCAUUUGUGUACCCGCAACAGAGCCAAAUUGCCUUUCGGCCAUUGGCGUAGGUGUUUGUCAUUCUUCACUAUGCGAAGGCAAUCGAGUAGAACACGCAGGGUGAAGGCAUUCCAGUUAAUCUUUGAAAUACGUUUCACAUCAUGGACCAAAGCGUAGUACUGCUUUGGCACAAUCUUGCUCGACAUGGGAGCAAUAAUUGUUUCUAACAGGACAAGGACUAAUUUCCGAAGAAAAUCGUCGUCGGUGGCUUUACUUUUAAUUAUGUCCUCAAUGAGAUUAUCUAUCACUAUGUUUUCUGAUGUCUUACUGAGAAAUUGUGGCGGCACCCGCUCCAUCAUGUCCUCUCUUUCUUCAAUCAGAAUGUCUGAAGCGGAGAGUCCUUAGUUCUCGUGGUUAAAGAUGCACUCGACGUCGACCGCACCGAGAGUCACCUCCCCAACCUGCUCUUGUAUAAUGAAUCUGGACUUGCUGGCAUCAAAAUUCUCAAUCAUAUACCUAAUCAGAAGGGUACGCAUCUUAAUAGAUGGUAUCUGCAGCAUGCUGCGCAAUAUUGUAUCAGCCACUCUAGUGCGUUGACCGCUCGAUAGAGCGGCAACAAGCUUGCACCAUUUUUCAACAGCGCACACUAUUUCUCCAUUCAGCUUGUCCAUCCUAUAGAAAAAAAAUAUAAAACUUCGUUACAUUUGCCAACAGAAAUGCAAAAAUAACAAUAGACAUGCAAAAAUAUAAAACUUUCUGGCAGCAGCAAACAAAAAUGCAAAAAUAACACUAAUGCAAAUAUAAAACUAGCACCAUGUAUACAGCAACAUGCACUCAAGUGUGUUGUGAUAUGAGGCAAUAAAAAAUAACAUUCUGUUUGCAUAAUUGUUUUUUUCGACAAGAUCUUUAAAACAAGACUAAUAUUGAAUAUAUUUUUGAAAAUUAGUUUUUAGACAACUAAAUAACCAUGCUUCAAUCUUGUUUUGUAUAAUUGUUUUAGUUCCAUGCAUUUUUUUUAAUAAUGUUGCCUUCUAUUUCGUAAAGAAAAAAAAUCUAACUAACACUAUGGCUCGCCGUGUUACAUUGUGUAUCAUAAUGUUACAUUGUCUGCCGAUUCUUCUUAAUUUUACAUUGUUUCAUCAUGUUUCAGAACAUGAAUCUUCAAACUUGUUAAAAUAUAUUCAAAAGUGGUCUCGUAUUAAAGUUCUCAUUGUCAUAAACACAAAUAUGCAUCGGAUCUUCAAGAAAAAUCAACGGCUCUUCCAUGCACGGUACCUCCCGUGCAUGGGAGAAUUGCUUUUCUCUAUUCUACCCUGAUAUGAAAGAUUUAUUUCAUGUACGCCUUCUGGUCAGAACGCAUCUAGUCGAGUUGAUACUAGCUACUUGAAACUAUGUGGUAAACCUAAGUCCAUGAAAGCAACAAGAUGAUAGAACUAGCUUGCUAUGAAGGCGUGAGGUAAGGAGGACAACUUACUUGAUCGGUCGACGAAGAUGAAAGAAGUCGGCGAUGCGUUGUCGACGUACUUCAUCGACGGCGGCCAGCAUGUGCGGACGACCUUGAUCUCUCGGGGUUUUUGUGGCGUGUGUGAUGCGGCGGACGGAGCUGUCGACGACUCGCCGGCAGGAGGCGAUCUAGACGACGACAUGUGCGAGGAGGUUGAGAUUAUAUACGAGGUCGUCUCCUAGGUCGUUGUAACUUCCCUGUGGCCAAUCUCGCGAUCUAUAUUUUUCUCCGGUCGUUGUAACUUCCCUGUGGCCAAUCUCGCGAUCUAUAUUUUUCUCCGUUGAAUCGAGGCUGAACGUGCUCCUCAAUCGUAGGGAUUAGGAACAUAAGGAUUAGCAGGAUCCCAGAAUUGUGUAACCGAACGGCAACUACUCCCAUGAUCGACGUGCAUGGAAAGCGCAGCGUGGUGGGCCCCCACAAUAUGGAUCGGACAGUUAUUUGCGGUCUGGGCCGGCCCACCUACCUCUACAUUGUUUUUUCCUCAAAAUUAAUAUCAUUGUUUCUUCCCUCAAUAAAAAAUAUUUGUGACACCUAUUAGUUAUUGUAUACUUGUAUAUGUUCAACAAUAUUUAUAGUAUCUCUAUCAUUUCUGCAAUAUUAUAUAUUCAAAUGUACUAUUCCUCUUUCCCUUUUAAUUAGGUUUUCCUGUUAUUUUAUGUUUUCUCCUUCUUAUUCCUAAUUGUUUUUUCAUGUUUCAUAAUUCCAUAUCACUUCUUCUCAUAUUUUUCAAAUUCAUAUCAAAUAUGUAUGAUUAAAUGUUGUCCUAUUUAUGAGUUGUUAAUUGGUCGGUCCGGGAAGGUAAACCACUUUCAGACCUGCCCUCCGGCAGACCCGAAUGACCCUGCUUGUACAUAGUGCAUGUGGAGGCAUGCAUGAGAUGACCCCAACUUUUGGGACCAUAUGGGCAUGGCCAAUGUGGUCCCCCCGGCAAGGUGUGCACAAAUUCGGACACAAAACGCACGUUGCGUCACGUGGGGGUAGUGUUCUAGGGUUUUGUCGCCGGAUAAACCCUAGAAAAUGGUUCGAGUGUCGGAAAUGAACGAUACUUGUCAUGCAUGCAUGCCAUGAUCAUCCUUGGGUAUGCAUAAAGUUUGGGAUCAUUCGGUGGGACCGGAAAGGUAAACCACUUUCAGACCUGCCCUCCNNNNNNNNNNNNNNNNNNNNNNNNNNNNNNNNNNNNNNNNNNNNNNNNNNNNNNNNNNNNNNNNNNNNNNNNNNNNNNNNNNNNNNNNNNNNNNNNNNNNNNNNNNNNNNNNNNNNNNNNNNNNNNNNNNNNNNNNNNNNNNNNNNNNNNNNNNNNNNNNNNNNNNNNNNNNNNNNNNNNNNNNNNNNNNNNNNNNNNNNNNNNNNNNNNNNNNNNNNNNNNNNNNNNNNNNNNNNNNNNNNNNNNNNNNNNNNNNNNNNNNNNNNNNNNNNNNNNNNNNNNNNNNNNNNNNNNNNNNNNNNNNNNNNNNNNNNNNNNNNNNNNNNNNNNNNNNNNNNNNNNNNNNNNNNNNNNNNNNNNNNNNNNNNNNNNNNNNNNNNNNNNNNNNNNNNNNNNNNNNNNNNNNNNNNNNNNNNNNNNNNNNNNNNNNNNNNNNNNNNNNNNNNNNNNNNNNNNNNNNNNNNNNNNNNNNNNNNNNNNNNNNNNNNNNNNNNNNNNNNNNNNNNNNNNNNNNNNNNNNNNNNNNNNNNNNNNNNNNNNNNNNNNNNNNNNNNNNNNNNNNNNNNNNNNNNNNNNNNNNNNNNNNGGUGGGACCGGGAAGGUAAACCAUUUUCAGACCCGCCCUCCGGCAGACCCGAAUGGUUCGCUUGUACAUGGUGCAUGUGGAGGCAUGCAUGAGAUGACCCCGACUUUUGGGACCAUGUGGGCAUGGCCAAUGUGGUCCCCCAGGCAAGGUGUGCACAAAUUCGGACACAAAACGCACGGUGCGUCACGUGGGGGCAGUGUUGUUAGGUUUUGUCGCCGGGAAAUGAACGAUACUUGUCAUGCAUGCAUGUCAUGAUCAUGCUUGGGUAUGCAUAAAGUUUGGGAUCAUUCGGUGGGACCGGGAAGGUAAACCUCCUUCUAGUACAUGGCGCAUGUGGAGGCAUGCAUGCGAUUGUCCCAACUACAUUUAAUUUAAUAAUACUUCAAGUAUGAAACAGAAAAGAAAAUUUAUAAUUGAAAAAGACAACCAUGAAAAGUGAAAUAAAAGACAACAUUAUAUCAUACAUAAAUUUAAUUUAUAACCGUCAGAACAAAGAAAAGAGGAGAAUAUAGAAAAGAGAAGAAAAAUUUAAAUGAAUAAGUGCGAUAAAAGACAACAUAUUGNNNNNNNNNNNNNNNNNNNNNNNNNNNNNNNNNNNNNNNNNNNNNNNNNNNNNNNNNNNNNNNNNNNNNNNNNNNNNNNNNNNNNNNNNNNNNNNNNNNNNNNNNNNNNNNNNNNNNNNNNNNNNNNNNNNNNNNNACAACAUAUUGUCUUACAUUUAAAAAAUAGUUCAAAUAUAAAAAAGAUAAGAUCUAUUAGAAUGUAGAAGUGAAAUAAAAGACAACAUAUUAUCUUACAUUUAAAAAAUAAUUCAAAUAUAAAAAAGAUAAGAUCUAUUAGAAUAUAGAAGUGAAAUAAAAGACAACAUAUUAUCUUAUAUUUACAAAAUAUUUCAAAUAAAAAGAAGAGAACAAAAAUUAGAAUGAAGAAGUGAAAUAAAACAGAACAUGUUAUCUUACAAACUAAAAAUAUUUUAAAUAUAAUAAAGAUAAGAAAUAUUAGAAUUGGGCCCAAGGCUGCCCUGGGCCAGAUCAGUGUGCCGCGGGUAAGGCUGCCCUGGGCCAGCCCGCCCGAUUGGGCCCAAGGCAAAGCCGCGCAGGGCGCAGCGCAGCGCACAGCCGCGGGGUGGUGGGAGUUUAGUCCCACCUCGCCAAGCGAGAGAGCGCCGCACCGGUUUAUAUACCCGGCUGCGACUCCCCUCCCAAGCUCCUAUCAUAUGCAGGCAGUACAUUGUCUAACUCUCGUCACCUCUGCCCCAUGGGGCCUACUAGCAGCAGAGUUAUUCUGCACCACGGGCAUGCAUCCUGGCCCAUGAACCGCUGGGUUCCUAGUUGUAUGCAGUCCGUGGUGUAUGAAUGAUCCUGCUCUGGUAGGUGGGCACUUUUUUCGCAUAUUGCCAGGUGUUUUUAUCUUCAAAUCACAAACUAAAUUAUACACAUGCUCACUUGCAUUGAAUACACAAACUAAAUCACAAACUAAGUUAAUGUUUUCACCUUCAAAUCACAUAAUAAAUUUUACACAUGCACAGUUACAUGUAAUACACAUGGCUAUUAAUGAGAUUUCAACAAAAUGAGACCGUCGUGUACGAAUUCUCCUCCCAGAUGCAUGCCAUGAUCAUGGUAGGGUGUGCAUAUAGUUUGUGAACAUUUGGUGGGACCGGCAAGGAAAACCUCUUUCAAACUUGCCCUCCGGCAAACCCGAAUGGUAUGGUUUGUACAUGGUUCAUGUGGAGGCAUGCAUUAUAUGACCUCAACCUUUUGGGAGCACGUGGGCAUGGCCAAUGUGGUUUUAUCGAUGCAAAACACCUACAAGAUACAUCGAGUGUCUGAAAUGAACGAUAGUUGCCAUGCAUGCUUGCUAUGCUCAUCGUAGGGUGUGCAUAAAGUUUGGUAUCCAUUGGUGAGACCGAGAAGAAAAACCUGCUUCAAGUAUGAAACAGAAAAGAAAAUUUAUAAUUAGGAAAGACAACCAUGAAAAGUGAAAUAACAGACAACAUUAUACCAUACAUUAUUUAAAUUUAUAACCGUCAGAACAAAGAAAAUAGGAGAAUAUGGAAAACAGAAGAAAAAUUUGAAUGAAUAAGUGCAAUAAAAGACAAUAUAUUAUCUUACAUUUAAAAAAUAAUUCAAAUAUAAAAAAGAUAAGAUCUAUUAGAAUGGAGAAGUGAAAUAAAAGACAACAUAUUAUCUUACAUUUUGAAGAUAUUUCAAAUAUAAAGAAGAUAAAAAAUAUUAGAAUGAAGAAGUGAAAUAAAACAGAACAUUUUAUCUUAUAAACUAAAAAUAUUACAAAUAUAAUAAAGAUAAGAAAUAUUAGAAUGAAGAAUUGAAAUAAAACACACCAUUUUUGUUUAUUCGUNNNNNNNNNNNNNNNNNNNNNNNNNNNNNNNNNNNNNNNNNNNNNNNNNNNNNNNNNNNNNNNNNNNNNNNNNNNNNNNNNNNNNNNNNNNNNNNNNNNNNNNNNNNNNNNNNNNNNNNNNNNNNNNNNNNNNNNNNNNNNNNNNNNNNNNNNNNNNNNNNNNNNNNNNNNNNNNNNNNNNNNNNNNNNNNNNNNNNNNNNNNNNNNNNNNNNNNNNNNNNNNNNNNNNNNNNNNNNNNNNNNNNNNNNNNNNNNNNNNNNNNNNNNNNNNNNNNNNNNNNNNNNNNNNNNNNNNNNNNNNNNNNNNNNNNNNNNNNNNNNNNNNNNNNNNNNNNNNNNNNNNNNNNNNNNNNNNNNNNNNNNNNNNNNNNNNNNNNNNNNNNNNNNNNNNNNNNNNNNNNNNNNNNNNNNNNNNNNNNNNNNNNNNNNNUAAAAAGAGAAUGAACAAAUGAAAUAAAACGCAACAAAAUUUGGCAUACUUUUUUAUUUUAGUAAACACUGUUAGAAAUAAUAAAGAAAAAAAGAGAUUUGAUUUUAAAUAUUAGAGAUAUAAACAAGAAAAUAAAUUUUGGAGUUAAGAAGUGAAAAACAAAGUAAUUUAUAAAACACAGAUCAGCGCGCCGCGGGUAAGGUGCCCUGGGCGAGCCCGCCCAAAUUGGGCCCAAGGCAGAGCCGCGUAGGGCACAGAGCAGCGCACAGCUGUGGGGUGGUGGGAGUUUAGUCCCACCUCGCCAAGCGAGAGAGCGCCACACCGGUUUAUAUACCCGGCUGCGACUCCCCUCACAAGUUCCUAUCAUAUGCAGGCAGUACAUUGUAACUCUCGUCACCUCUGCCCCAUGGGGCCUACUAGCAGCAGAGUUAUUCUGCACCACGGGCCUGCAUCCUGGCCCAUGAAUCGCUGGGUUCCUAGCCGUAUGCAGGCCGUGGUGUAUGAAUGAUCCUGCUCUGGUAGGUGGGAACUUUUUUUUCGCAUAUUGCCAGGUGUUUUUGGCAUAUUCUCCUGUUCUUCAAAUCACACACUAAAUUAUACACAUGCUCACUUGCAUUCAAUGCACAUUUUUUGCAUAUAUGCCAAGUUAAUGUUUCUACCUUCAAAACACCUAGUAUUUUUGGCAUAUUGUCAUGUGUGUUUGGCAUAUUCUCCUGUUCAUCAAAUCACACACUAAAUUAUACACAUGCUCACUUGCAUUCAAUGCACAUUUUUUUGCAUAUAUGCCAAGUUAAUGUUUCUACCUUCAAAACACCUAGUAUUUUUGGCAUAUUGCCAUGUGUUUUGGCAUAUUCUCCUGUUCACCAAAUCACACGCUAAAUUAUACACAUGCUCGCUUGCAUUCAAUGCACAUUUUUUUGCAUAUAUGCCAAGUUAAUGUUUCUACCUUCAAAACACCUAGUAAAUUUUAGACAUGCUCAUUUGCACACAUGGCUAUUAAUGCGAUUUCUAUAAAAACGAGGCCGUGGUGUACGAAUUCUCGGCAGACCUGAAUGGUCCGGCUUGUACAUGGUGCAUGUGGGGGCAUGCAUAAGAUGACCCCAAAUUUUGCACACAUGACCUCUCGCACAAACAAUGCCAUGUUUUUCCAAAUUUUGCAAACUAAGCGAUGUGGGGGCAUUGUAAAAAUAUUCUUUUUCCAAAAUUUAUUUGAUAGCCAUGUUUGGCACUUGUGGGCCACCAUUUACAAGAAAAUUUGGGUGAUUUGGAGGUGGUGGAAAAAAUCACUUAUGUUCAAAAACUGGCUUAAGUUAGACCAAAUGGCCCCUCCGGAAUGCGGUGAUUUUUUUGACCACCUCGAAAUCACCUCUAUUUUGGCACACAUGACCUAUUGCACACAAAAUGCUAGGUUUUCAAGGUUUUAUAUUUUUUUGAUUUUUUAUUCAAUUCGUACUGCCCUCUAGACUGGUUGCUCAAAACAUCAGUCUAUACCUCAAGGGGGCCUUGUAAAAUAUUCUUUUUCCAAAUUUUAUUUGAUAGCCAUGUUUAGCACCACUAGUAGAGAAAGGACCUAAUGUGAGACACAUUAGUGCCGGUUCAAUUUUGGCCGGUACUAAUGGUACCAUUAGUGCCGGUUCGAGCGGCUAUGCAUUAAUGUCGGUUCGUUUUGAACCUUUAGUACCGGUUCGUGCCACGAACCGGUACUAAAGGGGUUGUGGCAGGCUCGCGUCAGGUCGGGGCCCUGCGAUCACCUUUAGUACCGGUUCGUGGCACAAACCGGUACUAGAGGGCUAACCUUUAGUACCGGUUCGUGGCAGGGGUUUGACCUAUAGUACCGGUACUGAAGAGCAAUAUUCAAUCUUCUACCNNNNNNNNNNNNNNNNNNNNNNNNNNNNNNNNNNNNNNNNNNNNNNNNNNNNNNNNNNNNNNNNNNNNNNNNNNNNNNNNNNNNNNNNNNNNNNNNNNNNNNNNNNNNNNNNNNNNNNNNNNNNNNNNNNNNNNNNNNNNNNNNNNNNNNNNNNNNNNNNNNNNNNNCCAUUUCAGUUUUGAAAAAUACAAAAGAAAAUGCUAAAAAAUUCAAAAAAUAAAAUUCUUUGAGAUGUAAUUAUAUUACUACAUUUACUAGUUAGGAAAAUUAAAAAACUUAAAUUUGGACAUGAUUUGCAAAAAAAUGUAGGGAAAAUGUGAAACGGCUAUAACUUUUGCAUACGAUGUCGGAAAAAAAUGUACAAUAUAUCGAAAAAUUCAACACGAAAAACCGCAUCCGAUUUUGACCGCCUACGGCCUGUUUGCAAUUUUUUAGAAUCCUCAAAUUCCAAAAGGAGAAAAAGAUAUGCUCAAAUUUAAGUUUUUUUUAAUUUUGGUUAAAUUUGGUCAAACUACUUAUUCAAGAAGUAUUAAUGUUACUACAUACUUAUUUAAGAAUAUUAGUGUUACCAUAUAAUUAUUUCAAUUUUUUGAAUUUUGGUCAAAUCUGGUCAAACUAUGGCCAAAAAUCACCUAUGUUCAAAAGAUCACCUAUGUUCAAAAACUGGCUUAAGUUAGACCAAAUGGCCCCUCCGAAAUGCGGUGAUUUUUUCGACCACCUCCAAAUCACCUCUAUUUUAGCACACGUGACCUCUAGCACAAACUAGGCUAGGUUUUCAAGGUUUUAUAUUUUUUUGUUUUUUUUUUGAAUUUAUACUGCCCUCUAGACUGGCUGCUCAAAACAUCGGUCUAUACCUCAAGGGUGCAUUGUAAAAUAUUCCUUUUCCAAUUUUUCUUUGAUAGCCAUGUUUGGCACAUGUGGGUCACCAUGUACAAGAUAAUUUGUGUGAUUUGGAGGUGGUGGAAAAAUCACCUUUGUUCAAAAACUGGCUUAAGUUAGACCAAAUGGCCCCUCCGGAAUGCGGUGAUUUUUUCGACCACCUCCAAAUCACCUCAACUCUUGCAAACAUGACAUCUUCCAUAAACAAAGCUAGGUUUCCAAGAUUUUUUAUUUUUUAUUUUUUUUGAAUUUAUACUGCCCUAUAGACUGACUGGUGCAAGAAUCGGUCUACACCUCAAGGGGGCAUUGGAAAAUUUAUUUUUUCCAAUUUUUCUUUCAUAGCAAUGUUUGGCAAAUGUGGGUCACCAUUUAAAAGAAAACUUGUGUGAUUAGGAGGUGGUGCAAAAAAUCACCAUGUUAGCUAGACCAAAUGGUCCCUCCAGAAGGCGGUGAUUUUAUCGACCACCUCCAAAAUUUCCACUUUUUAAAAUAUAUCAGAAAUGGAAGAUUCAAUCUUGCUAACUUAUGAAUUGACAAAAAAUGAUUUUCAAAAUUUUCUAAUUCUUAUAAUAUAUUUCAAAUGGAAUAUUCAAUCAUGCUCACUUAUGAACAUUGACAAAAACAAAUUUCAACAUUUUCUAAUUUUAAAAAUAUAUUUGAAAUGGAAUAUUCAAUCAUGCUGACUUAUGGACAUUCACAAAAAAAGAUUUUCAACAUUUUCUAAUUCUAAAAAUAUAUUUGAAAUGGAAUAUUCAAUCAUGCUAACUUAUGAACAUUGACAAUAAAGGAUUGUCAACAUUUUCCAAUUUUUUAUUUUAUAUUUGAAAAGGAAUAUUCAAUCAUGCUAACUUAAGAACAUUGACAAAAAAUGAUUUUUAACAUUUUCUAAAUUUAAUAAUAUAUUUGUAAUGGAAGAUUCGAUCACGCUAACUUAUUAAAACCUCAAUUCAAUUUUUUUAGUAUCUAUCCUAUGUAGAUAAGGCUGGUUCUUUGCACACACCAUUACCAAGCACAUGCUCACUGUAUGCAGCAUGUUUCAUCAGUGAAGCAACAUUGAAGCACCUACUAUGAUCAUUGUAGCAUCAGAAUAUAAACCCUGCAACAAAGCAUAGCUGACCUGCUUCUAGACAGUUGAUAUACUUCAGAGACAUACUAGAUUAAUUAAGUCUCUGCCAUACUUAAGAGUCUGCCAUACUACUUAAUAGUCUGCCAUACUACUUAACAGCUCACAAACACUUCCACCUUCCAGAUUCACAGUUCACAACCAUACUAGCGCAAAAGUUAAACAUCAUCAACUAUACUGACGAUGAUUAGUUCCACUACCAGCUUCACAGAGGGUGACUAGAUGGGACCCGUAGCCUUCAAGAGGGCUGCAUGCUCUGCCCUGAUCUUCACAUCGCUCCCACUCGUGGUUAAACGGCAUGCAUGUGACAUAAGGUGCUCAUACAACCCAUCCUUGGGAAUUGGCUUAAUGGUGCAGUAUGGGCACCUGAACUUGCCCCACUUGAAGUACGCCGCCUUCCCCUUCUCCCUGAUCUUGUUGGCUUCAUGCUCAAUGAAGGACCUGUGGUUCCAAUCUUCCACCUCAUCUCCAGAGUUGUACGGCACAUACAAAUGAUUUGCAUAAAUACAUACUUCCCAUUUAGAGUAAUGUAAUUAACAAACAUCAGAUAAUUGCCAUUUACUGGAAUGUAAUGAACAAACAAACAUAAUAGCCCAUUUACAGCUACUUAAUGCACAAACAACAAAAUAGUUCCAUUUAGAAGAAUUUAAUGGACAAAUAAUAGAAUAGUUCAUUUAUAUGCAUUCAUAUAUGGUUUCAUGAAAAAACAUCACACAUAUCCCAUUUACAGCUAAAUAAUGCACAAACAUCACAACUUUCAGAGCAAUUAAUUGAAAGUAUAACAAAACUUUCCAUUUUAGAAUAAUUCAAUGGACAAACAACACAAUAUUUCCAUUUAUGAGCAUUCAGAUUUGAUUUCAUGAUCAAAGACUACAAAUAUGCCAUUUAGAGCUAAUUAAUGACCAAACAACACAGCUUUAUGAUAUCAGUGAAUAAACUACAUAACAUUCCAAUUUAGAGGCAUUCAUAUAGGGCAUCAUCAACAAACAACAUCUCACACCGAUUAAUAAACAGACAUAAAACAGCUUGGGGUUACCUCCUCGUCGUCGUCAGAAUCAGACGGGUCGUCGAACCCAGCGAUGUCCAGCUUCCUCUUGUUGCCAGCAGCUUCCUCAUUCUGCAAUAUAUAUAAGUAAUUAAUUCAAUUAUACUACUAACUACAUAACACAGUAUGCAAAGGUCAAGCAAUCUGCAAUGUGCUUCUAAUAAGCUAAAAUGAUACUUUGACCUAAAAUUAAACUGUAUCCAAAGGUCAAGCAUUCUACAAUGAUAGCUUGGUCAAUCUAAAAUUUUAGAUCAUGUUGACUGUGGUCCUUCAAACUAUAAUGCCAGCCUGGGCACCAACAAUAAUCUUGUGAGUGCUCAGGUCUGCCAAUGGAGGUAGUACAUUUUUUGAUGUACCCUACAACUAUAUCAGUGACCCAUUGUGGUUGACAACAAGUAAUUGCAUUUACUUCAUCUGGCUCAUGUAAUGUACAUAGUGGUGCAUCAGCUGCCCUAUUCUCUGAACCGUAUAUUGGAUGGUAUAUUAUAAUGCCAUGAGCUUCAGGAAAGUAAAUCUUUGUCCGAUUUUUGGUGCUAGGUGUGAAACUAUUUCAUAUGACAUACAUGCAUGGAGUUAGGCAACAUAAAUUUAAUAUGACUUGGUCAUCUGGCAUAGUUGCAUGUCUACCAAACCUACUUAUGGUUUACUUUAUAACUACAACAAUCCUACAGAUCAAACCUACAAUUUUAGUUUAUGGAUAAUGAAGUGAAGCUCCUAACUAUUUUAAAAUUGCACACUAGUUCAUACUGUGUUCAUUUCAAUAAUUAAUUGAUACACUUCUGUCACAGAAAGUAGGAUUUAAACCUCAUUUCUACAAUAUCAACUUUAAUAGAUACAGUGGGUAGCUGCUCAGCCCCUGUCGUGGCCCACUGAGGGAAUAUGCACAACAAAUCUAACAAAAUAUACAGCACAGAACAGAAUCUGAGCACAUGCGGCAAUCCAGAUUCUAAUAUAAAUAAUCUAACUCUCAUUAUGAUGUCUCUAGCAUUCAAGCACGAAUCAACUUGAAAAAACCCUAACUCUGAAAUGGGGUUCACCAUUCAAUCAAAAAACCCUAACAAGCAGAAGGGGGUGCCGCUAUCAAUCACAAAUCUACUAUAAAAAACACCAUCUACUAAAUCUUCUGCUUAUCUACUACAAGUAUGAAAGGAGGGGAACGAGAAGCGUUACCACAUCCACCACCUGCUUGUCGCUCGCCUCCGCACCUACAUCCAGUGUGCCGCCAGACGCCGUCACCACCAGGUCUGCCACGACGGAGUCCGAGCCCACCACCCCCUGCGCCACCAGAUCCGCCGCCACAGGGACCGGUCCAGCGACUGCCGGUGCAGCAUCUCCCGCACCGCCGAUGGCGCCACUUCUUGGACGGCAUCUGCGGCGGUCUCCGCGCCCUCGACCACAUCUCCGUGCGCAGCGACGGCAGCGCCACGACCUUGCUCCAUCGAAUCCUGAGAGAACCCGCCGGAGAGAGGGAGGCGGUGGGGUUGAACAAGUAGGUGCGGUGGCGGGGCGAUGGAGACGAGGAGGAGACGAUGCGGCAAGGAGAGAGGGAGUGAGCCGAUUUGGCGGUAAAUGGUGGGGGCGAUGCGGCCGGUGGUGGUUCCCCUCCCUCUUUAUAGGAUGUGACAUUUUUGGAAUUUUUCGUGCGCCGCGUGGCCGCGUGGCUAGACCACGACCGCCGCCGCCCAAGCCCACGACCGCCGCACGUGACAAGGGAAAACGAUACGCCCACGUACAAUACAUGUAUACCCUCAGUGUACAAAAGUAAUCGGGCCGGUGCGGGCUUGUACAGGGCUGUACGCGCGCCGGUGCGGGCUUGUACAGGGUUGUACGCGCGCUCUCCUCGGGCAUAAAAAUACGAUCGUGCCCUUCUUAACGAAUCGUUUUUGACAGAUCUCAGCCAUCCUUGUAUUUCUCCCCCUCGCGUUCAACCAGGGGGGAGCACCGGAGCAGAAACGUACAACUAGUGCAGGAGUCCUUCUGUUUCCUAGUUAUAAUACCUACUAGAUAGGAAGUGCGGCCUGCCGCACCCACCUGGUUUCAUUUUAGCUAACCCGACAGAAAGAUAAAAAACAGUAUGACGAAGCAAAGGAAAACAUAUACUUCCCAAAAUCUGAACUUGAUUGAAUCAUAUUCAGCCAAGUAAAUCAGAAUAUAUAUUACACAUGAUACAAAGGUACAAAGCGGAUACAACAAUUUAUAUAUGCAUAUGAAGCUAUGACAUGUACGCACAGCGACUCGACAUCAUCGAUACAACAGUUCAUACACCCAAAUACAUGCUGGAUAUGUUCUCCGUACACCAGUAAAAGGAUAGCACAUAUAGCUUGGUCCGCUAAUUUUGAUCUGUUCUCAUUCACUAUGCCAGGCAAAAGAGAGUACUCAGCGUACACAAAGUUCCUAUCGAUUUUGACCUAAUCAGAUACCUGCAAAGAAACACACCUCAGGGCGCAGCUGGUAGCAGGUGGCAUCCAUUUCCCAUAAUCGUACACACUUUCACCAAUUUUCCACCCAGGAUCCUGUCUUCCUCCUCGGGAUACUUCUUCCAGUCUUUGAAAAAUCUGCACCACAAUCAAAGAUCUUGUGUUUUAUGGCAGCUCACGUUAUGACAACUAUUAAAGAUUCAAUACAACUUAGUCUUAUAUGCUAACCACAAUGUUUGCUUGCCCUUGGACAGUACAACAGAAUAAAAUAGGAGGUGCAAAUCCAGAACAAUGUAUGUUGGGUGACAGGGCAUAAUAAUAACAAAUCUAUUGAGAACAAAGGACCAACUCAAGCUAGCAUGUGUUGAUAUGCCCCUACAGCCGAGCCAUCAUUUCUGUGCACGGUCAUGACCAAAAUGAUAAGGUCAUGCAUAGCCAAUCCUCAAAUGCACGUAAGAGGAAUGUAUAGCAUAUGGGUUAACUAACUAACGAAUAUGAGGAUCACACAAAACACAUCAAAAGUAUGAUUACUUUAAGAGAUACCCAGUCUAGAGCCUAGGCUUCCUGUUCGGAGGGCAAAGCUUCUUUUCCUGUUCGGAGAAAAACAGUGAAAUAAGCAGACACGACAAAGAUAGAUAUUGUUAUAAACUUAUGGGGAAAGCAAAAGUACAUACCUUGAAAUACCAUCGAUCUCAUCUGCUAAGGUAGAAGAAUAUCCACCCAGCAUUGUACUCUUCUAGAAGAACAAAGCAAAAAGGCAUAUUAAAUCAGCAUUCAAAUAAUGGUCUUUGCUCAAAUGAGAUAUGCAAAAGACCUCAACAUUAUUAACCCAUGGCGGACCCCACAUGGCCCCGUUUUAACUAACUCCGGCAAUAGAUAAUAUAUAUGUAUUACUCAAUAUAUCUCAUAAUGGAAAUGUCGAGAGGCAGCAGGGAGAUGAAAUAAUAUAACACUUUUUCAUAUCUUGCAUAAUUCCAAGAGCACGUAUAGCCUUCUCAAAGAAGAAAACAAAAUGGGUAAGAAAACAUCUAGCCAAUAAGUAGAUACAGAUGUAUAGUAAAGGAAAAAACAUUCAGCAUCUCAAUAGAGGAAAAAAUAGCACAGGUGCAUCAGAAAAGCCACAGUUCAAAGAAAUAUAUAUGUGUAUAAAAGCAAAAUCAUGCAAGACAACUCAAGAACUUUUAGCAAACCUACAACUGCAAGAAAAUUCAGAAGGGUAUGUUAAUAAUAAAGGAAGGGCACAGUUUAGGAUCUAAAUAGCGACAUUAGUGUUGUACCCGACGAUAGCUAGUUGUGUGAAAAUGAAACAAUAUCGACAGACGCGGCAUUUAACAAAAAAAAUGUAGGUAGAGCAAUACAAAAUAGGGUUUAAUUAUCCUUUUGCCCUCAGUGGUGUCCAUGUGCUCAGUUUUGCCCUCAGAUGCGAAUUGUCCUCAGUUUUGCCCCUAGUCCGUGCGCACCGACUCGUUCCGUGAACUCUGCCGUCUCCGUCAGGUCAACCUUUUGACUCGGCCCUUACAGGUGGGACCAGGCGGCAGAAACGGCCAAUUUUAUUCAGACCGUUGCACGCGUGGCUUGUGGGACCCAGCAAAGAGCCGUUGAGCAGAGAGCCGUUGGCGGGUGUGCUAUAUAAGUGGGCGACAUCGGCGGUGACCACGGCGACAGAGAGCACGGCGGUGACCACGGCGAGAGAGAGAGCACGGCGGCAGGAAGCUAGCUGUGGAGGGCGCGGCGGUGGGAAGCUAGCAGUGGAGGGCGCGGCGGCGUUGAGAUCCCCUUCGGCUCCGAGCUCCAUGUCUUCCUCAAGCUCCCGCGCCACCUCGCGGAUGCAGAGCCGGGCGCGUGUGGACAUGCCUGUCUUCGUCUGUCCGCGGUGCCGGGCGGGCGUUGAUCGAAGGGUUUCUCAGACACCGAGGAACCAGAAUCAUCCGUUCUACGUGUGCAGCGAGAAUGGGGUAAGAAUCGGGGCAAUUGCACCAUUUUCGUCGUCGGGAUGUUUGAGCAAUGGGUUGAUCUGUUUAGUGUUCAUGCAGGUGACAUGGUUCUUUCUUUGGGUCGAUGCUUUGGCCAAGACUCUGAUGAAUGAACUGCAAGAAGAGCAUGAAGAAUGGUUGCGCAUGCUGCCACGAACGGCAGUGGCCACACCACGAGCCCCGGAAGAAGAGAUGGAUGGCGAAGCACGCACUGACAGAGAGCUAGCUAUUGAGCUUAGGAUGUUGAAGAAGAAGGUUAGGAAGCUUGAAGAUCAAGCACUACCAAUACCCAUUUGCAAAUACUUUUGGGCAUUUGUAGGUAUGGUAAUCGCACUGGUUGUAAUGUUGAAAAUGUAUGGAAAGGCAUGAAUUAUGAAGGAAUUUGUAAUCUUGAAAUUGUUUGAGAAAUUCACCUAGUUUAAAUGUUGGUUAAAGUUGUUUAAAUGUUGAAACAAAAAGAGAAGAAGUGACCAACAUUUAAAUAUGUUGGAAAAAAAGAAAGGAAAUUAGGAAUUCAGAAACUUUUGAUCAAUGAAAUGCAGCUCUCUGCUCUGCCUUUCUGUCCGAAAAAAAGGUUGCUCUUGGGCCAAAUUCAGAGCGUAGAGCCAAGUGCAGGCUAGACUAAUGGGCCAACUGCAUCCAAUUAGGCCCAUUCAGGGGUUUUCUUGCGUAUUUUUUUGUUUUCUAUUCUGAGUUAAUUUAGGCAGUAAAUCAUAAUGCUGAAACUUUUUGUGGAAGCUAAUUGAAUUAUUCCGGAGCCAAACAAUUAAGGUUAGAAAUUUUUCGGAGCUGUUAAUUAAUCCAAUUCAAAUACACCGUGAUUUAAAUCAAAGACCAAAAUGUCAUGGAAAAUGUGCCUCAGCUCUGGUAGAGGUUUACGCCAGGUGCCAAAAUAAAUGAACAUUUUUUAAGGGCAUUACAUUGAGGAAAACAUAAUAUGUAUAAAAAAUGAAGGGUGGAAAAUGCACAAAAAAUUGGUGCGGCUGGGGACUCGAACCCAGGACCGCGUGGGUUUGUGGUGUUUAGGGCUGCGCUGGUAACCGCUAGGACAGAUGGCAAGACUUUAACAUAGGUAGGGAAGGAAGGUAUACAUAGUGAGACUGUGAAUUUUUAAAAAAAAAUAGUGAGACCGUGAAUGUUUGCACACGCGUGAGAGUGGUUUUCCUUUGUUUUGCACUUAAAUUUUGGAGGGUUGGAAGGUUAAAAAUGUAUGUUGCACUACCACAUGAUUUUGGUCAGAGUGGCACUUAGUUUAGGGUUAGAGUGGCACUUGGUUUAGGAUUUAAAGGGAAUAAAUUUACAUGUUAGUUCAUGACUUUUUGUUUGAAUGAAACAGAGGGCUUCUCACCCCCUACGAUUUUCAUUAAUGAAAACCACAAGUUUUUGAACUUCAUGACUUGUUUAGGGAAGAAAUGAUAAGUUUGGGCAUGGACAUUUUUUAACACACAUAAUGAGAUAGAACACACCGUACCAUUACAAUAACUUAGAUAAGUUCAUGGACAGUUCAUGGACACAUGACGAAACAUGACACGACACGACAUGACAUAGAAAAGCAACAAAAUAAAAAACCAAACAUGACGAGCUUGACUCCGGGCUUGAACAUCUUCAUCUUGACCUCCUUCUUCCACCUUGGCCGCGCGCGCCCCUUCAACACCAUCUUCAUCUUCACACCUCCUCCUCGUCGUCGUAGGGAAGGGAGUGCAUCUGGCCUGGAGCGGGGAAGAUGCGCUCGUAGUUGGUGUAGAUGUUGUAGAUGGUGAAGAAGAUGGCCUCGCAGCCGCACCAAAAGACUUGGCCGAGGAGCUCGCGCGCGUCAAAUGGGUUGGUGAAGGUGACCGUGAGCAGAAGGAGGAUGCCGUCGUGGUCACGAACCUCGUUGAGGGUGAACAUCCUCGGCGAGCCCCGUGGGAGGUGGGCAUAGCCGGCUCUGAGGAAGGCGCGGGUGAGUUCGACGGAACCCCUCCACCUUGAAAUAGCCCACACACGGAGCUCCCUCUCCACGAGCACGCCCGGUGGGUAGCGCAGCUCCGGCACCACAGGCAGACGGCGGAAGGUCGGCCCGUUGAAUUGCAUCUUCUUCACUUGGUCUCGCUUGGGGAGGGCUUCGUCGCUUGGGUGUUUGAAGUUGGAGAGAAUCGGAUCUGGCUUGUGGGUGGGAGAGGAAGAGAGGCACCCCAUUUAUAGGCCUGUGGGUGGGAGAGGAAGGGAGAAAGGAUGAGAACGGUGCGUGCGUGAAUCCGGACGCGUGUGUGUAUCCGUUACGUUUUGCACACUUAAAUUUUUGCAUGAAAACGAUGCAUCUUUGACCGGGCAGUGCAUGUGAACCGCUGCCCUGAACCACUGCCCUGAACCACCUAGCUCGCCUUGCUAGCCUAGCUCGCCUAGCUGGCCUAGCGCGCCUCGCUCGCCUCACUCGCAUGCAUGCACGUCGCCGCCUCCCGCGCAUGCGCAAACCCACGUAGCCGCCUCCAUGCAUGCAAGGCCUGGAAAGGCUGAGACGGGCUAUUUACUGCGAUCUCAGGCCCAGACAACGAGACGGCCCAACGGUCCAUCCAGCGCGUCCGAUAUUUGUUAAAAAAACAAUCUCCCAGCCAAUCAGAUUGCAUCUCGCGGAUCGCCCCCCUCCUCCCCGCAGAUUUCUUCUAGAAGGGUUAGAUCGACGGCCCUUGAUCACCGCUAGGGUUAGAUGAACGGUCCUUAUUCAGCGCUAGGGUUAGCGGGGUUUGGGAGGGGUUUGGAGCAGUCAAAGCUAUGUUUGACCAGAUUUCAAAUGAGCAUAAUAAAUUAAAUAAAAAUCAGAAAAAUGAAAAACCUGCGCACAUAGUCUUCUUAUGUCAUAUACUAACGNNNNNNNNNNNNNNNNNNNNNNNNNNNNNNNNNNNNNNNNNNNNNNNNNNNNNNNNNNNNNNNNNNNNNNNNNNNNNNAUUUCAAAUGAGCAUAAUAAAUUAAAUAAAAAUCAGAAAAAUGAAAAAUCUGCGCACUAGUCUUCUUAUGUCAUAUACUAACGAUUUAAAUUGAUAAACAAGCUUUACAUACAUUUAAAUGAUAAGUUCAUGUGUAUUGUAUGAUAUCUCGAGUAUCUCAAACUCUCUGGUAUGAAGUGAAGAGAAGUGUUUUGGGGAAAUGAACAUGAAAAUUUCAAAAAACUCACCACAGCUUCAUUUUGGAGUGACUAAGAAGGAUCCAUGCUUAGUUUUUCAUUUUGAUGUUUUAAACUUGUUUAAAUCUUGGUCAAAGUUAAGUUUGACCAGAAUUCAAAUGAGCAAAACAAAUUUAAAAAAAAUUCAAAAAAUGGAAAAACCAGCGCACAUAGUCUGUACAUAUAGAAUAUAUGUGUAGGAAAGUUAUUUGGCUGAUCUAGAUAAGGUCAACAAAAACCUUGCUUAGAAAUGAGGCCGUUUACCCUACCUUUGGACCCCUCUUUUUAGCACAUUUUUCAUGAAAAUUUCAAAAACCUCACCACAACUUCAUUUUGGAUUGACUAAGAAGUAUCCAGGCUUAGUUUUUCAUUUUGAUGUUUUAGACUUGCUUAAAUCUUGGUCAAAGUUAAGUUUGACCAGAAUUUAAAUGAGCAAAACAAAAUUCAAAAAAAUCAAAAAAAGGAAAAACCAUGUGCUCAUUCAAACAUCAUCCAACAGAUAUUUAAACAUCAUGUCAAACAUACUUCUAACAUAGGUCCAACAUCAUCCAACAGAAAUACAACAUGUCAAGUGAUAAAUGUUUCAUAAUACAACAUCAUUCCUUAUUCAUAAUGUUUCAUAAUUGUUCAUGGAUAGCGUUGGGGCUUCUGUCUGUUUCUUGAGCUUCUUGCCAUCACUUUGCUCCUCGUGCACCUUGUGAUCAUUGUUUCUUCUCUUCUUCUCUUGGUUGUCGGUACCUUGCGCGUCUUCUUCAAACCUACCAUAGAGCUGUGCAAAACAUAAAGGGUCCAAACAUAAACGGUAAUGAGAUCGUGUCAAGUGAUAGAUAUACAGUAGUAUUUGACCCUUGCAAGAUUUACAUACCUAGCAGAACUCCAUUUGGAGCCUCACUUGGAUCACCAUGAUCACCAUUUAGAGCCUCACUUGGAUCACCAUUUGGAGCCUCACUUGGAUCAUCAUUUGGAGCCUCACUUGGAUCAUCAUUUGCAGCCUCCAUGGACAACCCUCAGUCGGACAGUGCACUCUGUAACGUACUUGAUCGCUCUUGUCAACUUUGAAAGUACGUUCUACCUUGAUGCAGUAUGUCACAAGUGCAUUUCUACACUCAUUCAUGGAUGCAAAAACUGUACCUUCUUCCAUUUGAGGGUUCAAAGGGCCCCAUUCAACAGCUGCAAGGUCUUCGUCCUCACCCAUCGCGUCAUCAUCCACACGGACUGCAUUGUGAGCCUCAUCUUGGUUUUCAGCCCGAGGUGCCCGUCGUAAAUUCUGAAUAACAUCAGAAUAUAACUUCUCUUCAUCAACCCCAGAAUUGUAGCCAUCAGGCUCCACUUCAAGGGGGACCCUACUGCUGUUGCCCACACUUGUCGAGCCACCACGUCGUCGUGCACCAACUGAACUGUUCUGGCUAGAGAUGCCAUUACGACGACUUGAUUCUCCCCGAGAUGUUGCACCCGCCAUCCUAGGUCCAAAUGCCUGCUCAAGCACAUCAACUUGCAGCCUCACAUGAAAAUUAUCUUUCUCUUUAUGCCUAACAAACAUGGUAGCUAGCUCUUCAUCAUUACUAACUGUCACCCAAUUCUUUUCACCAUCAUAGUAUUUGUAUACCACUUCAUCAAGCAAACCCCAAGGAUAUUGGCUACAAAUUACCUCCCCAAAUUGUCUGAAACUCCAAUUACUAGCCAUUGGCAACCGAUAAUCAAAACCUCCUUGGUAUUUCUUCUUAUCCUUUGCAUCGAACAUGUACCGGUCCCUUCUAAUGUGCACCAUGAAAGCAAACCGCAACUCCAUCCUAACCGGCGAAAAACAGAGACGCAAUCAGCACACUAAUUGGGCAAACCUACUCGAAUCGAGUGUUCAAAUGCACAACUAAGCUCAAUCUAAACAAGAGGCGAGACUUACCCCUCGGGAACCCAGUCGUGGACGCGGCGGAUCUCCGGCCCGAUGCCUGCCUCGCCAAAUACUCCGGGGUCGCCGCUGCUCACCAUUUCGCCCUAGGGUUCUUCCUCCUAGUUCAAAUAGCUCCAGCAGCCCCCCACCUUUGAGCGCUCCGGCCGGGCGCACGGAAGGAGGCCGCGCCGCGAAUCGAGCAGGUGGCGGGCGCCCCACCCGUGGCGUCGCAGGAAGGUGGUGGGCAUCACAAUGAGCCGUGAAGCGUAGGCGCAGGGAGGUAGCGGCGGAGCAGGCCGUGCAACUGGUGGCGGGGCAGGUGCUGGCCGAGGCGCAGGUGGCGGCGGCGGCGGCGCAGGACAGCCGGCCGGGCGGAUGGGUGUGAGCUAGAAUGAUUUGGGGAUUUAGUUGCAGGGGCCUACAUGUCAGCUCCGGACCCACGUCCACGCGGUCCCACGUGUAAGCUCCGGACCCACAACUACUAACGCCGGCGGACGGAAUGGACUCAAAUAUGGCCGUUUGGCCUCGUCGUAGUUGCUGUGCUCGGACUAGGGGCAAAACUGAGGACAAUUUGCAUCUGAGGGCAAAACUGAGCACAUGGACACCACUGAGGGCAAAAGGAUAAUUAACCCUACAAAAUAAACAUUAAUACAAAUUGACAGGCACAAGCAUAAUCAGAAAAUAUCUACCAAGAGCAUACCGAAUGCAUGACUGUUAUUGUUUCAUUCAUAGGUCCAGCCAUGACUAUUUCAAGUUCUCUAUGGGCAACACAAACUCACCAGGAAAUGAUCAUCAUCAGGCAUCUAUGGGCAAACAUCACCUUGUUUGCUUUGUGCUCAACUACUUUCUGAAAUAGAAAUAUAGAAGUUUCAGCAGCAAGCAGCCAAGUAAAGUGACACAUUAGUAAGGCUGCUAUUUAUAUCCCAUCAUAGCAAAUCAAUCUAAGAUAUAGUUCCAACUUCCAAAUGCAAUAGUGAGCCAUGGGGAGCAGGAUUUCAAAACCAUGACACCGCAUAGGUUAUAUGAGUGCACAUCUUAAUCUUGAUUCUGAGCUCUGGUUAACCAAAAAGCAAAAGAAUUAAAAUCAAACACGAGAAGUUGAGAACAGGAAACCCAUGUGACUCAGAUCGUCCUGGACAUCUCUUCACAUGACACACGAAAUUAAAUUGUUAAGUUGUAUAGCAGAAAAAAAAUUCAGAACCAAAUGACACAGGCUAGGAAGGCAAAUUAAAGAGGCUGCACAUGAUUAAUAAGAGGAAGGGUUGAUUCUAUUUUUUCCAAGGUGGAUACAGAGAGAGAUCCUUUAUUCCAACUGUUCAUCCAAGUCUUGGACCGUUUGAGCAAACAGGUAUCACAUCCUAUCCUCUUAUGAGCAUGUCCCGAGACACCUUGUGGGCUGCUAAAAGGAUCACAUAUAUGAAGUACCAGAGAGCUCUGUUCUUUGAUAAUCUCUCAUUAUUAUCUCAUUAAAACUUUGUGGGCAUUAAUUAGGCAUAUAUAUUAGUAGUGACAAAAUAGCUAUGCACCUUUAUGUCCUCUGCUCCUCUACCUAUAGAGUUCACGGUCACCAUACAAAAAACAAUGAAACAAAGAAUAAUAAAGUACAUCAGCAGACAUUUGAUCAAUACGUUCAGCUAGCCUUCUACCUCAAUCAUCACAUCAAAUCUCUUUAUUUGGGUCAAGAGGAGAAAAAACUAUCAAACAGGGGAUAAUAAAAAUGGAUUCACCAUGAAAGAGUAAAGAAGAGAGUUGGUACCUACUCGUACGCAAGCGUGAAUUCUGGUGUUUCCAACUUUAAUGAUAGGCUAAUCGAAACGAGAGGCCAAGCAGUCCUGGAUAAUCAUUUUGAAAAGUCUAAUUAGACAAUGUUAAGUGCAAGAGAGGCAAGGUGACUAAUUUUGCUUGCUGCUUGUAGAAGACAACAUCCUUAACAUAACCACCAUCUAAGCACUCCGCAAAUGAAAGGCCAUCAGUGAUACAGGCUAUCAUUGUCAGCUUCACCAUUUUGAAAAGAUAACAAGACACAAGCAAAAGUGCCACCUGCAGAAAAAAGCAGAGGAGAGCUAGUAAAUACUUCUAACAUGUUCACUUCGGUAUAGAGGAUCCUACUUAUCCAAUGACCCAUAUAUCUCAAAUAGAACAGAUUAAUAUAUCUCAAGCAACAGUUAAUGUCCAGUAUGUUCUCCAAAGUUACAGAAUAUAACAGGUUCAGAGACUGUCAAGAUCAAACAAUAGUGAGGGGAUUUUGUAGCCACAUGGCAAAGCUAAUAAAAUUUCUUCUAAUUUAAAUCUCAGACAUCUCAAUUAAAUAAAUAAUUUGAUACAUAACUGAAACUGAACUCUAACCUUUUGUUGUUUAGUUGUCUUCUAAUGACUAUCAACACAGGUAUAACUAAAACUUCAAAAGCUUAAUGUUAACCAGAUUAGAAGUUUCAAAGUAUAAGACCAUAUUGAGCAAGACUAAGGUAAAAGCAAGAAAGAUUAAAAUUGAUUAACACAAUUACACAAAGAGACGUAUUUUUCCUUUUUCAGGCAACCAAAUCUAGCUCAAUGUAUGGUAUGUAUUUGUUAUUAAAUAUUUAAUCAGCAAAGUCUUGAGAGAGAUGGGGGGGGGGAUCUUACCAGUUGAAGGGGCCACAUGAGUGAGGGGUGAGGAGACGCUCAGAAGCAGCACCGCUAGCCAGCAGCAACUCAAAGGCCGAAGCCAAUCAACUGUACUCCUGAUGCUCACCCGCCCGCACUUGGUCCUUUUGCCUGUGACACUGUACAGCAGAAACACAUAAAAUUGAUCACACAGAGCUUAGAGCAAGUUUCUUCUUGCAAAAAUAAUAGAGCAUAUUCCUAACACACAUAACCGAUGCUAUUCAUUCACACCUCUUUACACUUCCUUGUAUAGUCGUAUGUGUAUAUGUGUUUCACUGUGUGGUUUGAUACAAUGAGACUUCACCUCCAAUUCAAGCAUAAGCAUAUGAAAAAUGGUAUAGUGAACCUGAGUUUGAUUCUCUGAAGCUCGGAGCCUUAAAUAUUUUAAUAAAGAGAACAUAAAAAAACUCUACUGAGCAAUCCUCUAUGGAGAUCAUAUUAUCUUUCUGGAGGAAGUGCAACGAAAUGGAUUGUGGAGGGAUAACUUCAAUAUGCAAAUAGUAUCACUUUGAGGAAAAAUUCUAGAAUCCCCUUGAAACAAUCACGUGAGUGUAUUGUAUGCGUAUAUCUUACCUUAGCAACAGGAGGAAGAGGCAAUCAUAACUCUCCUUCUUCCAACCUUCCUCUUCAGCUUGCCUCUUUAGUACUCUCCUUCUUAGCAACAGGAAAAAAUGGCAGUACAAGCAGAUCUUCAGUACUCCAAUUUAUUUCAGUUUUGACAGCUUAUUUUCAAUUUCAAAAUGGAAAAUACUCACAAGAGUACCUUGUACGAAUAAACCUACAGAUCAACAUGUGUCAGGAAAACAGAAAUUAAACGGAUAGAGGAUGCAACAAGGGAGGGCGUGGUGAAGGAAGGGGGAGGAGGAAGGAGUGGUGGGGCUACCUGCCUAUGGACCCGUCGGCGGCGCCGGGACUGGCAGCGGCAGGGAUGGAGGCGCUGCUGCCGGCCAGCCCCAUGGCCAGCGGGAAGUGGAGCCGCGUGUGGGGGCGAGGAAGGAGACAGAGAGGAGCCGCCAGAGUCCAUCGGAGCCGCACCGGCGACGAAGCAAGCAGCGGGAAAGAGGAACCCGCGUCUCCCUCCUCACCUGCUCUGCUCGGUUGCGCCAUGGCCGACCUUGCGGGCGGCUCCUCGGUGAUCUGGACGCGCCACCUGACCUGCCCGGCCACGGUGGCCCUCCCUGUCCUGGCUCGUGAUGAGGGAAGGAGGAGAGGAGAGGGCGGGGGCGCUCCUCUUGCCGUGUGCAGGCGAGGACGACCGCGACGACACCGGGGAAGUGGACGGAGGCGGUCCGGCAGGCUGGGCGAAGUAGACGGCGGCGACGGCGGGAGCUGCUAGGGUUUUGGGAGCAGAGAGGUGGGAGAGGGAGGUGGAGGCGAGGCGUGCCAGCCGGGAUCUCGAUCCAACUCCAGCCGGCCAGCCCUAUCGUCGCCGGAAAGACCACCCUACCCCAGGGCGCCUACCUCCUCCUAUCCUCCCUCCGCAUCUUCUCUUCUGCAGGGACGCAUCAACGGGAUCGAGAGAUCGGGGAAACGAGCAACCGGCCGCCGGAGGCGAGGCCCACCCCCACCAUCGAAACCCUAGCGGGGGAAAUCGAUGGGGGUGACCGCAUGAGGCGAGGAAAAGUAGAUCGACGCGGUGAAGCUAGUAGAGCUCAUCCAGGAGCAGCUGUGUGUGUGUUGGGUGGCGCCAAAGCUCGCCGGAGCGGCCGGAAUCGGCCGGCGACCGAGGCGGCGAUAGUGGGGAUCGAGAGAGUAGGCAGGAGGGGGGUGACGGGAGGAAGAGAGAUGGGCUGCGCGAGUGCGGGAGAGAGGUGGCUAGGGUUUCUCCAUGGGCGGCACGGCAAUUUAUACGCUUGUAUGCGAAAUGACGGAAAUGCCCUCGGCGGGGCAGGCUAUUUACACGCGGUGGCACAACCGGGGCGCGUCGGUCCAGAUCGGACGGUCUGCGAGCGCCGGGUUUCGAUCCGGCGGCUGAAAUCGAUCCGGAGUGAGAUCCAACGGCGGGAAUUGCAUGAAGGAAAUGAUCCGACGGCCAGAAAGCCCAAAUCGCUGAGGAGCCUUGUGCAUCCACUCGUCUCUUAUUUCUGGAUGUUGCUCUUGUGAAGAAAUACACUAGUAGAAAACGGAGCUUUAAACCCGGUUUGUAAGGGCCUUUAGUGCCGGUUAUGGAACCGGCACUAAAGUGUGGGCACUAAAGCCCCCCCCCCCUUUAGUACCGGUUCGGCACGAACCGGCGCUAAAGUGCCACCACGUGGCGUGAGCUCGCGCCCUAGUAUGGGGGACCUUUAGUACCGGUUGGUGUUACCAACCGGUACUAAAGUUUUUUUUUGAAAAUUUUCAAAAAAAAAUUUGAUUUUUUUUCAGUUUUUAAUUUUUCUGAAUUAUUUGAUGAUUUAGUCACUAAUCACCUCUCUUAACUGCUCAAGUGUGGAUCACUCAUUCCAAAUCAUCUAACUUGCCGACCGGUCACCCAUCCCUCUCACUACUCCAGCCCGAGCACGCUUAACUUUCGGAUUCUAUUCGUUUCCGAGUCUGCAAUUGUUGUUUUCCUGACAAUAGUAAGAUGUCAACCCUAUUAACCCUCAGGAGUUUAGCUUGAGCAUGAAGUCACACAUUUCACCAUUUGAGUUUGAAACUAUUAUUCUAAAAAAACAGUAAUUAUUUAGUAACGCUAAUAUUUCUUGAAUAAGUUUGACCAUAGUUUGACUAAAAUUCAAAAAAUUGAAAUAAUUAUUUAGUAACACUAAUAUUCUUGAAUAAUUAUGUAGUAACAUUAAUACUUCUUGAAUAAGUAGUUUGACCAAAUUUAACCAAAUUUUUUUAAAAAAACUCAAAUUUGACCAUAUCUUUUUUCCUUUUCGAAUUUGAGGAUUAUAAAAAAUUCCAAACAGGCCGUAGGCGGUCUCCAUCGGAUGUGGAUUUUCAUGCUGAAUUUUUUGAUAUAUUAUACAUUUUUUUCCGACAUCGUAUGCAAAAGUUAUAGCCGUUUUACAUUUUCCCUACACUUUUUGCAAAACAUGUCCAAAUUUAAGUUUUCAAAUUUUCCUAACUAGUAGAUAUAGUAAUAUAACUACAUCUCGAUGGAUUUUAUUUUUUGAAGUUUUUAUCAUUUUCAUNNNNNNNNNNNNNNNNNNNNNNNNNNNNNNNNNNNNNNNNNNNNNNNNNNNNNNNNNNNNNNNNNNNNNNNNNNNNNNNNNNNNNNNNNNNNNNNNNNNNNNNNNNNNNNNNNNNNNNNNNNNNNNNNNNNNNNNNNNNNNNNNNNNNNNNNNNNNNNNNNNNNNNNNNNNNNNNNNNNNNNNNNNNNNNNNNNNNNNNNNNNNNNNNNNNNNNNNNNNNNNNNNNNNNNNNNNNNNNNNNNNNNNNNNNNNNNNNNNNNNNNNNNNNNNNNNNNNNNNNNNNNNNNNNNNNNNNNNNNNNNNNNNNUAACACAAACCGGUACUAAAGGGGCUCGUGGGGACCCGGCCUGACGCCAGCCUGCCACUACCCCUUUAGUACCGGUUCGUGGCACGAACCGGUACUAAAGGCCCAACACGAAUCGGUACUAUUGAUCGCAGCCAUGAACCGGCACUAUUGAUCACAUUAGUGCCGGUUUUUUUACAAACCGGCACUAAUGUGCUUCACAUUUGACCCUUUUUCUACUAGUGAUAAGAGAUGGACAUGUCGUGUGAUGGUUAGUUAUCUACUCCCUCCGUUCCAAAUUACUCGUCGUGGUUUUAGUUCAAAUUUGAACUAAAACCAUGACGAGUAAUUUGGAACGGAGGGAGUAUCUAGUAGUAUACUCCUAGUAAGCUUGAUUCGAUGCUAGGUCAGAGCUGUCACUAUGGCUGUUUAGUUAGUAUGAAGUCUGAACCGGAACUCUAGCUAGCAUGGGUUAUUUACCUUACCUGUGGCUGUGGGCAUAUUAUAUGAUUUGACGUACGCUCUGAUGAAGGGUUUCCAUUCUAUGUAAUCAUAUAUCAUUUCACUGCUGAUUUGUAUCCGUUGCGUUAAUUGCUUUGCUGGGCGUGGAACUACAGGGGGAAGCAUCCAAGCAACUUCCUCCCGCGGAUGGAGUGGUCUUGUUGCUUUCACGCUUCCUGAAAUGGGCCUGGAGUGGCCAGCGGGAGAGCGUGAUGGUGUUGUUUCUCAGAUGUAGCACCAUUUUCUUGCCGCACACAAAAAUGAGGAAAAUUUCGAGCAUACAUUCCAUAUACGCUAUGGCUGACUGGAUGGCAGUGGGUUCAUGAUGGUCAUCGAUGCUUGUGAAGUACUCCCUCCGUCCGAAAAUACUUGUCAUAAAAAUGAAUAAAAAGGGAUGUAUCUAAAACUAAAAUACAUCUAGAUACAUUCUCUUUUAUUCAUUUUGAUGACAAAUAUUUCCGGAGGGAGGGAGUACGUAGGACUGUUAGUGCUAGCCAUGCUCAACAACUAAAUUAGAAUUGACAAUACUAGCUAGUUACAGUACUUAACUUCCUAAUCAGCUCCUCUCACCUAACUGAGGCACAUAUGCGGUCUCACUCCGUCCCUAGUAAAGAAGAGACGCACAAGUCCAAUUCACUCCACUCCAUGUGCGUGCUGAGCAAAAUUCCUUAAUUUCUCGGCCAGUAAUUGAAGGUUGCAGUUGCAUGUCUACACUCUUGGUCGUUGCACGCUUCAGGAAACGAGCACACAUGAUUCCAUGUGCCGCUGUGCUUAGCAUGGUUCCUUUUCGUUCUGUUGCUUUCUUGCUUUGCACUUACAUCCUGCGAUGUCAAUUUCUUGCCUUAUCGUUCGGCUUGGUGAAGGCUAGCUAGCCACACAUGGCAUUUAUCAUAAAUAUAUACAGUGGAACAACAAAAAAGUAGUUAUCAUUACAUCCUGUGAUGUCACUUUCUUGCCUUAUCGUUCGGCUUGGUAAAGGCUAGCUAGCUAAACAUGGCAUUUAUCAUAAAUAUAUUCAAUUAGAAUCACAAAAGAGUAGCAAGGUACACUGUGCAUUUGCCCAGCUAUAUUUCUUUUUUACAUUUACCUGAAUUUAUUUUGCUGUUACAUUUACUUGAAUUUCUUGUAUAAAAAACUAAUUGAAUUUAUUCAUGAAGCACCACAAUUUAUAUAUGUGAAAUAACUACUCUAAGGCCAUGCUUCCCCCGCACUUUUUUUUUUCAAUUUUUCACAACCUAUAUACACUCUUGUUUAGAUUGAUUACUAACCUGCCGAUGUGGUUUAGGCCUAUAUGUACAUUGUGUGGAAAGUGUGCACAUAUGUGACAAAGGAAAAUUCAAGCACAAAUUCCAUCUAUAAAUCUAUCUAUAAAUAGUUAAAUACAAUAUGCUCUCGAAUUUUUCAGGCCUCACAUUCAAUUGAGACCUCCAAUCUGAAAUUGGCUCACCUGAUUUUGACCGGGUCAACAAUUUCUCUUGGAGCUCUCUCAUUAAAUGCUUUUUGAUUUACUGUGCCCCCUAAUUUUGAAGCUUUCCCAUUCAAUUGAGGUAUUCAAUUUUUUAUUUGUUUCACGAUUUUAAUCGGAUCAAUGCAUGAUUUUUCAAAUUAAUUGGCAGCAAUCGGCCUAUAAAAACAUAUCAAUUCCGUGCACUCUCCCAUCACCUAGAAAGAAGAACCACAAACAUGUGCUACAGUGGCAUCAAUAUAGUACAUGCAACCAACGGUGAAGAAAAUGUCCCCACAUAAGUAUGGGUUGACUAGCAGAUAACACACUUGGUUCCGCUUGGUGAAGGCUAGCUAGACAUAACUUUUAUCAUGCAAACUACCCCCUCUCUUAGGGUUUGCGUGGGUAGCCCUAUAUUGACAAUUUGACAAACGGAAUACAAGUUAUUUAUCUUAAAAUUGUACAAUUCAAAUAAAAAAACUUGGGAUUUGAGCCAACUAGUAACUAGUCAAACAUAGCUAGUGUGAGCUGUGCUGGUAGGCCUACUCUUCUACAGCAACUAUAGUAGAGUGGCACAUCCGCAGUGUCCUUGUUGCGUGUAAAACACAUAAUAUUUUGAAGGUGACGCGCGAGUCACCAUAAUGCAGCUAUUUCUUACUUCUAUUUCUUUUAUGCUUGCAUCAACUCAAUACUCAUACACUCAUUUGGAGGGAUUCUACACUUCAAUUGACAUAACAAAGUUCUUACCUAGUAGAAGAAACGUCAAUUAGUGUCUUCCUCGUACAUAAUUAGUAGUGAAGUUGUUCAAAAUUUAUCCUUUUAUAUAUGUAGCAACUUUAUAUCCUGCAUCUUGAUCCCGAGUCAAUGGUGAAACUUAAGCACGAGUACAUGCAUAUUUGACGAGUCAGCUCGAUGACUAGUUGCGACAUUGUGACGGUCUGGCAUGGUUGAUGUCAGAGUGAUACUUGUAGGGGACAUGAGUAGCUGGUAGGCGCUACCACGGUCCCUAGCACAACGAAAUUGGGCUAUCUCACCUUCAUCCCAUGCCUCCUUUACAAUGAUGGUCCAAGAUGGUGCACUUUGUUUCCGCUGCUACCGCAUGUACCGCCUCGAACUCACACUAGAAGGCACACUGCCUCUCUGCCACUUCCGCUUGAGCCACCUCGAACUCGUACCAGGAGGCUUGCUUCCACUGCACCGCCAAUGCCUACCGUUGACAGUCUCCUCAAAUAUAUCACACAUCACAUAGGUGAAAGGACGAGGCAUAGGAGGCGUAGCAAUCAUCACAUGCCUCCUUAAUAGUGAGAUGGCGAGGAACCUGUUGUGGUAGGGCAUUUAAGCUGCGUUGGUAGACUUGGGCAUGGUGUCGGGAGAUCUUCGGCCUGGCACCACACCAUAUAGGGGAUACCAAUAUAGCACGUACCAACUACCGAGGAUCCAACCCCUCCCACUUAGCGACGACGGAGGGAUCCUCCCGAAAGGCAUCUCGCGUGUCACGACUAUCCCACCCCUCCUCAGCCACGAGGGCAUCCUCCUCCUACGCGGCCUCCUUAUCCAGCAUAUGUCCCCCCUCUUCCUCCAUGAGCGGCACUCAAUCAGGUUGUAGGGGAAGUAGGAUGGUGCUGAUGUACGAAGUAGAGGCGAAGAGGGAGGUGUAGCUUUGGACAGCUGCGUGAUUAGCCGGGAUGGGGUAGCAUCGGCCUUGUAAUAGCCACGGCGUUGGGCGGCUGCAAAUGGCAUGCGCAGCAGGAAACAUCAGUAAUAGAAAAAACAUGCAUGAAAAGCGGCCCCCGAAAGUGGUUGUGACAUAGAGGGACAAAGCCUCCUGUAAUGUAAUGCUGAACAGCGGAGGCAGUUCCACAUGAGUAACCGCAUGUAGUUAGAAAAUCGCAUGUAAUACUUAUUUAUUCCAGGUGGUUAUAGAAUGGAUCCGUCUCCGAAAAUACAUGAUGACAAUUACAAUAUGCUAACCACCUCCAAGAGUUUGGUAACCAACUCACUGACACUGAGUUCACUAGGAAAGAGUCCAUUCGCUAGAGGGGUAGUGUUGCCGCCCGUUGACCGUGUUGAGUGAGCACUUUGUUCUUCUGAAAUAUGAGAGAUUCUGGAUUCCCGUGGAUAGGAUGAUUUCAAGAUUCACAAUGCACUCAGUCAGAAAGGUUUAUUCUCUUCCCUAGAAAAUGUUUAUUCUUUGAAGAGUUAGGGGAAACUUAUGUGUUGUAAAAUGUAAACCGGUCAUGAUCACUAUAAAACACUACUAUUGAAUAUCUACCUUUAAGGAUCAUCUAUUUCCUUUAAAUGUACAUACAAUGCCGAAAAAGGCUUUCGCCCCGCUUUAUAUAUAAAGCAACCAUCACAAGGCGAGUCCAACAAAGUAGCAAUACAGAAGACGACACACACACCAAACACAAACUCCUAAGGUAGCACAAGAAGGGGUUCCGCUGAGGGAACCAGCGCAACGAGCCCAAAAACAAAAAUAACAAGAGGAUACAUAUAAUUCAAAGUUACAUGUAAUGUACUGGUGCGGCGCUGCAUCAUGCUAUUGCCAAAAAAUAAAACCUACCAAAUUUUCUAAUUGGGCUAUCCCAAAAUGGCACAUAUAAGAUGAGACGAUAUCUAUGCAAGGAUGGGUUUUGUCUUUUUCGUUCAUCACAAUCAGUCGAGUUCUGUGGGACGGAUGCAUGAACUGUGGUAGUUUUUUUGUCAAACACUCCAAUCAGUCACUCCACAAUGUGAGAGCAGUGAUUCAUGGCUACAGUUCAUCCUUGGUGCAAGGCGCUAAACACCAACAUCAACCACAAGAAACCAUGUGCACCAUGGAGUGAUGGCAUACCGGCCAGGACAACGAACUCUAGUCUAGAGAAAAGAAAUGAGGACCGUUCACGGGUGAGUAGACACUGUCAAGAUAGUACCCCUAGCACCAGAAGCGGAGGAACAGCUUCCGCAAUGAUCAAAUGAUUGUAUAUUCAUUUCUACACCGUGUUGCCUAUAAGAGAAACUCAAGGUCUUAUCACAUCACAUUCUAGAUUGAACAGUAUUGUGUCGCUCCCCGCGAGCGGCCCGGGCGCUAACCCUAGCCGCCGGGCACCGCCGCCACCCAUCCCCCCCUCCUCCACCGUCGUCGCCGGCGAGCGCCGCCCGGGCAAAGCCCGUGUGGUGUCGGCGGCGGCGGGCUCUUCCACUCCCGCUCGUGAUGUGGGCUGCGCGGGGCAGCUGCGCCAAGCGGAGGAGGCAGGCGCGAGGCGCUGCGGCGUGUGGCUGAGCGCGGGCCGGCGCUGCUCGGCACGCCAUGUCGGAGGGGUGGCUAGCGCGCGCGCCUCUGGCGCGAGGAGGAGGCAGGUCGCGGCGUAGGAGCCGUGGGCACGCGAGUUCCAGCCCGCGCGGCUCUGGCGUCUCGAGGGCGCGCGCUGUGGUGGGGUGUCCGUGUCCGGAGGAGCGGCUUGGCUGCGCUGGGAGGCGCCGUGCUCGCGCGCCAGGGAUCCAGAUCUGGCGCCUGGAUGCCGCACCGUGGCUCUAGCGGCCCGGAUCUGGUGUGUUGGGGUCACGGCUGUGCUCGGAGCGUUGGCGGCCGGGCCCGCGCAUUGGAGCUCCGCAGGCAGCAGGGCUCGAUCUGGUUUCUGCUGGCCGUGCGGGCGAGGCUGUGGGAGAAUCCCCUCGCCGCCGCCGUUCCUCCAGCUAAUCCCCUCGCCACCGCCGGAGGCCACCACCGGGCGGAGCCCGCGUCGUGGCGGCGGUUGCGGGGACUCCCCCCCAUGGCGCGGCUCUACACUCCCGCGGGGCCCCGCGGCUGGCGGCCCGCCUGCGGCUCGGAUGCAUGGCGGCGGCCAUGGCUGGUGGCACGCGGCGCAGCUUGGCGGCGGGCGGCGCCGGCGUGGACAGGUGGACCACUUCCCUGGCCAUGUGGAUGGGUGGGAGGUGGUGGGCUUCGGCUGCGGCGGCGGUUCCUAGCUGGAUGUUGGUGGCCAUGGUGAUGUUCGUCCUCGUCCCCGAUCUACUCCAAUCUGUAGCGGAUCCGGCCCUUGGUGGCUUCGGUCACCAUUCUUGGGUGCUGGUCUUGCUGAUCCGGUGGCUGGAAGGGUUCCGGUGGAAUCUCUUGGCCGGCGUGGCGGCCACUCCGAUGGCAGUGCCUUCGGGUGUUGCUUCCCUCGUUGGAGGCUUCGGAGAGGACCUCCUUCCUUCCACCCCUCCUAGGAGCUCAGGUGAAAACCUCAGAACCCCCUAUUCAAAGCGACGACGACACCACGGUGCCGUGCUCCUUCCUGAAAGCGUUGCUCGGGGGCUGCUCAAGUGGCGGUGGAAGUGGCGGCGGUUCGGUGUCGACACAUGCAUUCUGGUCAGCUUCAUCUUGGAGGUUGCGAUGACGUAGGCGACGCUCGUCUGGUGGAGCUACUGCCGAUGGUCGAGGCAUCGUCGGCAGUCUGCGCCAUCAGGUUCGGGGUGCUCAGGGGGAAACCCCAGAUCUGGGUCUUCCGGAUCGGAUGAUGACGUCGUUCUAUCGCUUUCCCUUCUGGGGGCAUCGUCUUGAAGCAAGUGCUGGCUGGAGGGAUGGUGGAGCGGUGUUUCAUCUCACACUUUGAUGGCGGCGGAGAUCGAUGGCAUGGCGCUGUGGAGACUCGGCGUCCGAUGUGCGGAGAUGGGCUCGCGCAGGAGGAGAGGUUGCUGUCUGGCGUCAUGGUGACGUCGAUGGCUGAGUGGCCAGACAAGGUAGAAGCCUCAAUAUGAUCUGAAGACCUGUGGAAGAUGGCGGCGAUGACACACGAGUGCGUUUGACCGGAUUGUGCCCCAGACCCAGUAUGUGGCUCGGAUGGGGCUUCCGAAUGAGUUUCGGCUUCCGGCUUUUGAUGUUUGGCUUAGGUGGGUGGUUUGGGUAGUGGCCCAGCUAGCACCCCUUCAUCAUUUUGGAUAGGAGUAGCGGCAUAUGUUGCCAAGAUGGUGGAUUCAGGCAAAUUGUUGUAAUACUUUGUAAGGUCCUCGAGAAUAAUAAAUAAAGUGGUUGUAUGCAUCUCCCAGAUGCAGAGGUCGGGGGUCAUCCUCCUUUUUUAAAAAAAAAUCACAUUCUAGAUUACUAGUGGUGCAAAGAGAAGUCCACAUCAUUACUUCAUUGUCUAUUUUGGUUGUAAGGUAGCUAGAAAGAGAAGAAAACAAGGGAAAAACCUUUAGGUACGGUGCAUCAAUAUAUCAAAUCUACCAUUGCAGUCAUUUUUGAAAUAUGAGAAAUUUUACUUGAAGAUUCACAAUGUACAGACUCAAGCAGUUUUAAUUAUUCUCGGAGGAGUGUUUGGGAGAAACUUUUGUGCUGUAAAUUGUAAACCGGUCAUGGGCGCUGUAAACAUUACUGAAUGUAUAGCCCUAAUGACCAUUUCUUUUCUUUAGAUGUCAAUAUAAUUCAAACUCUCUGAGAGUCCAUUUCCUAAAUUUUUCCUCUGUUAUUCACGAUGCAUGGGAACCUUUUACUGCUCUGCUUUUUCACAAGCACGCUUGCGAGAGCGAGAGAGAGAGAGAGAGAGAGAGUUCAUUCAGCAUAAAAGGACCCCCAAAGGCUGCUGGUCGUAACACAACCCAGCCACAAGUCACACUCACACCGAGUCACCGACCACUCCACUACACAUCCAAAAUGGCGGCCGUGACGUUCGAAGAGGAGGUCUCCAGGCUGGCUGCCCGCGAAGCGGCCAUCUCGCCGGCGCUGGUGAGGACGGCCGUGGGGGCACUGGCACGCAGCAGCGCGGCCCGCGCCGCUGCCGUUGCCCUGUUCCAUCUCUUCGCCGGCACCAUCAGCGUCCUCUUCGCUGCAACAUUCCUCUACCUCGUCGUGUUCCGGGCCUGCGUCGAGAACUGCACCGUGGCCUCGGUAGUUUGGGAGAUCUUGGUUUAUUCUGGUAUGCUCUCCCUGCUACUCAUAGUGCCAGCGAUGGUGCUCUUCUUCCUGCGCGCCGCCGGCAGCGGCAGCGAGGUACCCGUCACUCACUCGUCAAACCCUCUCGCCCCGCGACGCCAAUUUCGCUUAUGAUGUGAUUGGCAAAUGUUGUAGGUCAAGGAUGAUGUGGAUGGUUGCGUCCGUUGGUGGCCGCUAAUCUGGCACGCGUCUGUGGCGUUCUUCCACUUGGCGCUCUUGGUGGGACUCAUCGGGCUCGUUCUUCAAAUCUGUGGCGGGUCUCAAGAGGUUUCUUACCUUCUCCGCACUGCGGCUGUGCUGUGCAAGCUCCUACUCACCGUCGCCUUCUCCAUCCGUGCUGCAGUGGCGCUGUGGAGGAUGCAUCCUCAGCAGCCGGCCGCAGUUGGUGCUGUGGUAGUGUGAUGAGUGUACGUAGUAAUCUAAUCUAUCUAGUAACUACUUGUAGUAGGCUUGCUUCAAUGCUAGGCCGCCAAGAAGAAGUGCCGGAGCUAUCUAUCUAACACAGCUCCAUUGUUUACCCCUGUGAUGAACAGCAUCCAUUCUAUGUAAUCAUGUACUCGUAGCCACGGUGAAUUCCAGUAUAUGUAAUCAGGUCCCUUAAUUCACUGCCUAUAUGACUUGACGUACGCUCUGAUGAAGUGAUGAAGAACCUCCAUUCUAUGUAAUCAUUUUG